AAACCCUAGAUCUAAAUAACAUUGAAACAACGUUGUUCAUCAUCUUCCUCACUGAGCUCGGUCCUCAACUCGCCUGGAACUCAGGCGAGUUCACUCAAAUGGGACCCCUCCCCUCCACGUCAUUUUAUUCCCAACGGUUUUUGUCAAAGUGGAACGAAUAUUCUCUCCGAAUUUUGCACGAUUUCUGUAUGAUAGAACGAUUUGCUAGAUGAAUGGGAGCCGUGGAUGGAUGUAAAUCGAUCCAUGUCUUCCAUUUGUCCCAAAAAUCAUUAAAAACGUGAAGAUUUUCGGAUAUUUAGGCAGAAACUUCGAGAUUUUUUGAGGGUUAUAUAUAUGAGGUAAGUAUUCUUUUUCAAGGUUAAGGAAAAAUCAGAAAAAUCUAGGGAAAAUUUUCAGAAACUUAGUGAUGGAAUUUCUAGGGUUUUGAAGUUUCUCCCUUCUCUUCACCCCUUUUUCUUUUUCGGUCAGGCAUUUUUUAGAAAACAAAAAAUAUACAAAAACAUAGUUUGAAUUUUGGUUUUAUACAAAAAAUUUUGUUUCAUUUCGAAAGGGAUUAAAGUUUUAUAAAUCUCAGCAUUUUUCUUGGAUCUUUGGUUUUUUCAAGAAUGGUUUGUGAUUGAGUUUGUGGCUGGGAUUUGGAAUUUGGGUGUUGUGGAUUACUGUUCGAGUUUUUUUUUUGCUACAAUCUGGUCUUGGCUGAACUUUGCUGAGCUCCAGAUUAGUCGUGGAAACUCUUGUUGUUCAGAAAAUUAUUUUCUGAUUUUUCUUUGACUAUUGGAGACCAGCUGCUGUUUUCUUCUUGAUCUUGCUCGACCUUUAUUUGGUCUGAUUCUUUCUCUUAUUCUGUUUUCUAGGUAAACAUCUACUACCUCAUGUUGUUGGUUUUAUUGAUGUAUUAAAGAUUGUGAUGAGAUGACAUUGUUUGUUUAUCCGGCAAGAUUGUGUUUAAACUAGCUUGAAUGGUCAUUUGAUUUUAACAAUGGAAGAAUUAAAAAAUGUUCUUGGCUCUGUUGUGUUGUUUCGUGUUUCUAAAACUCAUAGCUACACACACACACUCAUUACAUUUAGUCAUUCAUAUGGUUUUCUAAGGUUAUUGUGUUGAUUUACUGAAAAGUGAGAUGAAGCCUUAUAAUUUUAAGUCGGAUUUUUAAGCUGAUGAAUCUAGAUGGAGGGUCUAAAUUGUUUUACUUCCCUCAUCAAGACAUAACAGAAUAUAUGUGUGUUUGGUUUUAGGUUCGGUUAAUCACUUCUUCUCCCUUUCUUAUCAGCUAUCUCUCCUAUUAGAACCCAUUCAUAUAUAAAAAGGCUCUUGUGUAAUUGUUCUGUUGCAUUUCUUCAUUUCUAUCCCAACCUAUAAUGCAGUCUAAUUUGGUAAAAAUGUAUGUUUAGAGCUGUUGGUAUUUGGAGUUUCCAUAAGAAGUGUACAUGCUAUCCUAUGCCUUUGUUGUCAUAGAUUCUUUUGGACAUUUUACAUGAGACGAGCUGAUCCUGAAUCUAGGUGUGUUCCUUAAAUAGAAAAGUAUCCAGGGGUUGUUUGAAUGUACGUGAUGUAUUAGAUUUUUUUUUAGAAAUUGGUUAUUUUUUGAUUUGGUUAGAUCUUUGCCUUGGCUAUUUCUUGUUUUAAAAGGUUCUAUAAGUUACCUAAAGUAGGUUCAGAAGUAAGAGUAUGUUUGAAUUCAUGUUCUAGCCCUAUGUUAGUUGACAGGUUUUUGCUGAAGAAAUGCAUCAUGUAUAGUUGACAAAUAGCUCCUCCUACUUUGUUUACUGUUGAACACUUUUAGUUUCUUUGUGAAUUGGAAUCCAUGUGUAGUGUCAGGAAAAUGUUGUUUCAUCUAGUAAGUUUGAGAUUGAAAUCAAUUGAAAUAUAUUAAAAAGUGAAGUCCCAGACUAUUUGUUGCUUGUUGCUCAUUGAUUGUGUGUGGAUGUAAGGCCUGUACAAUUUGUUUACGAACGACCCAGAGCAAUAAUUUUUUUGGGCCUCAGCAAUCAUCUUUCUUUUGGCCUGUGUUGGGUUUAAUUGUUUGACUUGCAUCUAGGCUCAAUUCUGAGCCUAAUGAGUGAUAAUGCCCAUCUCAUUUAAAAAAAAACGUGCAUUGAUACACUGGGUCUGCCGUUGGCCCGGUUCCCACCUCGAUCAGUUUAGGCCUGUUUGCUUUGCUUUGCACAUUAAUCAAGGGCUUGAGCCCAAGUUUGGAUGCAAAUAACCUUAUGUUUAAUUAAGUAUAAUCCCUUUAAAAUGGUUGGAGGCGUGCCAUUUUUCAUUAAAAUUACCCAUGCCCUCUUAUUAGCAACACAAAAUUUAGAAGUAAUUAAUUCUUUAAAUACCCGUAGUUUGCUUUAGAUGCGCAAUUAAAUUAUUACGACUAUGUGUACGGUUUCCGUGACGUGGUUGUGAUAAUUAGUUUUAAAUUAGGUUAAAAUAAGAGUACCUUUAGAUUGCCUUUAAAAUAUAUACCCCUUUUCCUAAAAUAAUUUGAGGUGUGCCAUGUUUAAAACUCAUAAUAUAUGACCCUCACAAAUUUAAUUCAAGAGUUUAAUACUUCUAAAAUCGAGGUGUGCCAUCAAUUUAACUCUCCCUGGACCUCACAAUUUUUUUUAUUAAUUUGAACCUUCGUAGUUGCUUUAGGCGCGUUCUUUAAUUAAUUCCAUCAUAGCUAUGGGUGCGGUUCCCGUGACGUAGUUGUGAUUUCUUUUAAAAUUCCAGGUGUACAUUUCAUGUAACCCAAGUUCAAUUCCUCAACAAUGUUAAAUGAAACUUGUUGCGAACCGCGGGUGCAUUUCAUGUAGCGUGGUUCAACGUGUGUUUUAAAUAACGUUGAAUCUUCCUAAAAUUGUUUUAAAAUAAUUAAAAGCAGUUCUAAAGCUAAUAAUGCACAAUAGGUUAAAAAAUGUAGUAAAUCAGAUAAUAGGCCAAUUUUAAUAGUUUAAGCGACCGUGCUCGAACCACGGAACCCGGGAAUGCCUAACACCUUCUCCCGGGUUAACAGAAUUCCUUAUCUAGAAUUUCAGGUUUCACAGACUUUUUUUGAUAAAAUCGAAUUUUCCUCGAUUUGGGAUUUAGAAUAAACUGGUGACUUGGGACACCCUAAAUUAAUCCAAGUAGCGACUCUGUAAUAAAUAAAUAAUCCCAUUUCGAAUAAUGUCACUUUAAUUGGAAAAACUCCCUUAUGUACCCUCGGGUGUAAAAAAGGAGGUGUGACAGCUCUGGCGACUCUGCUGGGGAUUUAAACCCAGAACUUUGGUUCAGGGUUCAAGAAUUCGAGCUUAGAAUAACUGUUAUAUUUGGCCUAUUUUUAUCUGAUUUUUACAUGUUGAGCCUAAUGUGCUAAAUGCUGCUUUUUACCGCUUUGAUAUUGUUUGGACUGUAUAUAAAUUGCUACGAAACCCUCUUCUCUCUGAGUCUUCUAAAUCAUCUAGUAAGUGUACACUUCAUGUAACUUCUUUUUUGUUAGAGUCAUAUCCCAAUUUUAGAACGAGGUUCGGAUAAGUUGCAAAGCCGGUGAAGCUUUUGUAUUCCCGGUACGUUGCCGCUCUCGGCUCUAGUUGUCCGCUCGAGUAAGCCAGGUCUAGAACAAUACACCCAAGUUUUUAAACCUAAUAUAACAAAGCCUCAUGCCGGAUCCCUAGUAGGAACGCUUGUUUGCAUCACGUGCAUUUGACUUUGGAGACUUAACAUAUGGGUUGGGUCUGUCUAGGACAUGUGUACCUGAAAUGAAAAGAGCAUCCUGAUGUAUUCUACCUGCGACUUGUGCAUUUAUUUGCUUUGGAUUGCAUGUUGACCGGCUUAUGAAUAAUGGAGAAAAGUUGGGAAAAUNNNNNNNNNNNNNNNNNNNNNNNNNNNNNNNNNNNNNNNNNNNNNNNNNNNNNNNNNNNNNNNNNNNNNNNNNNNNNNNNNNNNNNNNNNNNNNNNNNNNNNNNNNNNNNNNNNNNNNNNNNNNNNNNNNNNNNNNNNNNNNNNNNNNNNNNNNNNNNNNNNNNNNNNNNNNNNNNNNNNNNNNNNNNNNNNNNNNNNNNNNNNNNNNNNNNNNNNNNNNNNNNNNNNNNNNNNNNNNNNNNNNNNNNNNNNNNNNNNNNNNNNNNNNNNNNNNNNNNNNNNNNNNNNNNNNNNNNNNNNNNNNNNNNNNNNNNNNNNNNNNNNNNNNNNNNNNNNNNNNNNNNNNNNNNNNNNNNNNNNNNNNNNNNNNNNNNNNNNNNNNNNNNNNNNNNNNNNNNNNNNNNNNNNNNNNNNNNNNNNNNNNNNNNNNNNNNNNNNNNNNNNNNNNNNNNNNNNNNNNNNNNNNNNNNNNNNNNNNNNNNNNNNNNNNNNNNNNNNNNNNNNNNNNNNNNNNNNNNNNNNNNNNNNNNNNNNNNNNNNNNNNNNNNNNNNNNNNNNNNNNNNCGUGCAUUUGACUUUGGAGACUUAACAUAUGGGUUGGGUCUGUCUAGGACAUGUGUACCUGAAAUGAAAAGAGCAUCCUGAUGUAUUCUACCUGCGACUUGUGCAUUUAUUUGCUUUGGAUUGCAUGUUGACCGGCUUAUGAAUAAUGGAGAAAAGUUGGGAAAAUCAAUUUGAAGGCUGAGAGAAAUACUUACCUGUGUUUGAAAAACCCGGUAUCCAAAAGGUACCAAAACUAUGCCGAACUUUUGAAAAAAAAAAGAAAAUUUGUUUCAAGAAAAAAUAUUUGGUAUGGUUUUUAUUAUGUCAAAACUGCCCAAACUACCCAAGUUUGAUUCUCACCGGAUGUGGUAUACGUAGGCAACCCUCACCAGGUCCAACUCCGUUUUUGCAAAAAUAACCCAAAAAGAACAAAAAUUUUGUUUGUUUUGUCAUAAAUAAAUUAGGUAAUGUCGUUCUUGUCUAAAUGGCCAAAACAUUCCCAAAAGGACGCCGGAAGUCUGCUUUUGCAAGAAUAGCCACAUUCGGUUCCUUUUUCAAAUAUUUGCCAAUUAACAACAUAGCCCUAAAAUCUUCUUCCUUGAGGUGCUGAAGGGUCGUAUUUACAAAGGCGUUCCUUGUUUUGAAAUGAAUUUUUUUUGAAAACUAAUAACUUUUUCUUAAGUCAAAAUAAACCAUGAUCUUUUAACCAAUCACUCUAAUAAAUGUGCAGGAUGAGCACAAUUGAAAAUGAACCCUUUACAGUCCUUGAAGAAAUCCCAUUAGGACUCCACAUGUGGUGGAAUGACUUACAAAAAGUCAGCAGAGUUACUGUGGUAAAAGUUUUGGGCGGUCUUGUUGGUCUUCUGAAAAUCAAACCGAGGUUGGAUAUGAUUGAGGCUUUGAUAUCUUUUUGGGACCCGGCGCAUAGUGUAUUCCAUUUUUCUAAUAUUGAGCUAACCCUCAUGCUUGAGGAAAUAGCGGGCUAUGCCGGUCUUAAUGGGAAUCUCAGAAGUCGGUACCCAGUAGCACCAAGAACAGUGACUCCUCAUAAGUUUUUGGACCUGCUGAGCAUCAGUCGGGAGGUUCAAGAUGGAAAUCUAUCUGAAGGGUUUUGCACAUUCUACUUCUUGUACCAGCGUUAUGGCAAUCCCCAUGGUUUUAAGGCACCAGAUACUGGCCUAACUCAUUCAGGAAACAAAGGUAAAUGGGAAGCAUGGCGGGGACUGGCUUUUAUAGUGGCAUUCUUGGGUAUUUUAAUUUGUCCAAUAAAACAUGGAAACAUAGAAUUGGGUCUUGUAGGAAUGGCCAACGUCAUGAUUCAGAAAGCUAAUGGCACCCUCGUUCCAAUGAUCUUAGCGGAGAUUUACCGAGCUUUAACUAUCUGCCGAGAAGGGGAAAAAAUUUUCAAGGGCUGUAACAUGCUCCUACAACUUUGGAUACAAGAACAUUUUUGUCACUGCUUGGAGUACAUGAACUAUGACAUGACUGAUUUGAAUUGCAUCAAAGAAUAUGAAAACCGAGUGGUGGGUUGUGAAUUUCCAAAAGGUAUAGAGGCUUGGUUUGCGCAUUUGAGUUCUUUAACUUCGGACAAAAUUGAGUGGACUUUCAGUUGACUCCCUGUCACUGAAGUCAUUUACAUGUCAGCUGAGGUGUGUUAUCUUCUCUUAAUGGGUCUCCAGAUCAUUCAGCCAUACGCUCCACACAGGGUGCUGCGCUAACUAGGCAGGUUCCAAACUAUCCCACAUGACAAAGAUCUGAGCUGACAAGUCAUCGAAUUGGGUCCGAAAGCGGUAUUCCCAGAAGAAAAAGUUCAUUAGAUUUGGAAUAAGUGUAGAUUUCUAGAGCCAAAGACUCGGGUGAGGGAUCUAUCUAAAGGCGAGUUAGACCCUAAUUACAUGACUUAGUUUGGUAAAAGGUUUCAAGUCCCUCAGGAGCCCGAACAGCCUGCUAAAAGACCCCAUGUCCAGCAAUUCACUGACGAUUCGCAGAAGCAAUGAGAUUGGUUAGCAAAAGAGGCAAGCUAUAGGAUCAAGAUAAGCAAAUUGGAGGGACAAAUCAGGGAUCUCAAAUUUGACAAUAGUGUACAAGCCGCUGCUGAUGAAGGGAAAAAGAAGAAACUGGCUCAAGAAAACAAAGCCCUUCGAGCCCAGAUCCAAAAAGUGAAGAUAGCUACGGAGAAUCAGGAAAGAAGCCAAGCAGAUGAAAGGCUCAUAAAAGGUCUUAGAAGGAAAGUAUCUGAAUGUCAGGAUGAAAAUCCGAGGUUAAUCUAGCAAGAGCCCGAGCACAACUGACAAAGAACAUAGAGGGACGGGCGGAGCUUGUAUGGCAAUUGAAAAGGAAAUAUGAGGGAAUAGUCACAAAUUUGAAGAAAAGGCUAACUACCCUCGAAAAUGAGAUGGCCAAACAAGCUAAGAACUUUAAAGCAGAAAGAGAACAUUGAUAUGCCUUAAUGUCCCAGCUAGAGAAAGAUAUGCAACAGCUACAGGGUCAAAACCAUCAUGACACCCAAGUGCUAGAAGCUAGGUCUCAGCAAAUCGGGUGUUUGCUCCAAGAAAAGGGUAUCAUCAGGGAAAGGGUUAGAGCAAUUGCUGUUACAUUGUCAUGAAGUGCCAUGAAUGUGAAGACAUGACUAGAACCACCUUCUUUGCUGUGGUAAUGACCUUUGUUCGCCAAAUAAUGAGUAACCUGGAGCGUCCUCAAGGGGAUCUUGCACAUAGGCCCGUGGCAAGACCGACUGACGUCCCACGUGCCCCUAGAUUAGAAGCACUUAUGUACUGUUGAUUUUUAUUUUUGAGUAUGUACUUCAGUUUUUAGUUUUAAAAUAUGUUUCGAGUUUGUUUGUAGUUUUAAAUUCCUAGAAAGAGUAUGGUGGAGUCUUUUGUAAUAGAGAACAGUAGAGUUUUUGUUAAUGAAAAAUUGGAAAAUCCCAAAAAUUGUUUCCCUAUUUUUUGCAUUUAUUUCUUAAACUACGUGAUGAUCUGAUUCACGCGGCGUCGUGAUACGUAGGCAAUCCUCAUCGGAUCCGGUCAUGAUUUUUGUAAAUAACUCAAGUAAAAAAGGAAUGUGGAAAAGAGAAAGCCAAAAAAAGAAGAAAAUAAGAGUGCAAAAGAGCAAGAGAGAAGAUCGGGGAGAUAAACAAAAGCUGGGAUGAGACAUGCAAUCGUUGCAAAACAUGUAGAAACACAUUUAACUGUAUAGGUGCAUCACACCCCAAUGUGCAAUUCCCUAUGUGUUAAUUGCUUCAAACUAACCAGUUUAUUGUCUGUUAUUGAGUAUAGGUUCUAUUUUUAAGGUGGUUGGUUUAUGGUAACCUGGCUUCACACCCGUACUUCACAAGAUCAAAGGGCAGUGUAGAAAUGUCAUCAGAAGGUCGUCCACCAACGAUUCCCAUCUUAGAGGAUAGCCCACUAUCGAUUAUCCCAACCUCAGAGUCAGCGGAAGCUGAAGAGAAUAUGGCACUAUGCCUCCACGUGCUAGAAAUGUGGGACGCCUGGUCUAAUGGUAGAGAGCCGCCGAGUUCCAUACCCGGUUUCCCCGAGUUACUUCCUAGAGCAAGUGGAAAUUCCAAUGUCCCAAUAAAUUACCCAAAUACCCCACUUGGAUACCCCACCAUCUCAGCUCACUUCACCGAAACACCUUCUGAGGUUCGCCCCCAGAUGGUUUCAGGAGUGGCCUCCAACAUAUUUACCGCACCACCAACAUCAGCUGCGGUGCAACCCACUUUGCCCAGGCCAAGCUUUGAUCCAUCGUCUUUCACCUUCCAAGUACCAUCUUUUCCACCAGAAUCUACCCAGAUCACUACCAAUUCUUACCCUUAACAACCCUGGUACGAGUUUGUCGCGGGAUAGGAGAAGGCUACAAAGAACCUCGAGCAAGAGGAAAUUACCCGAAAAAUAAGGAGCAUGGAACAGAGCCUCAAGAAUAUACAAGGUUUGAGCGGACAAAAGAGUUUGUCCUACGCUGAUCUAUGCAUGUUCCCGCAUGUGCAUUUGCCCCUGGGUUUCAAGACCCCAAAGUUCGAAAAGUAUGACGGGAACGGGGAUCCCAUAGCCCAUAUCAAGAGGUACUGCAAUUAACUGCGAGGGGCAGGCAGAAAAAAAGAGCUACUAAUAGCUUAUUUCGGAGAGAGUCUGGUCGGCAUUGUAUCUGAGUGGUACAUGGACCAAGACAUGUCUCGUUGUCACAUUUGGGACAAUCUAGCUAGAGAUUUUGUCAGGCAAUUUCAGUAUAACAUAGAUAUAGCUCCCAACAGGAAUUCUCUAUCGAAUCUCAAGAAGAAGUCCUCAGAAAGUUUUUGAUAAUAUGUUGUUAAAUGGCGCGAACAAGCGACCAGGGUCAAACCUCUGAUGGAUGAAACAGAAAUGGUGAGUGUCUUUCUACAAGCCCAAGAGGCUGACUACUUCCAGAAUAUGAUGUCUGCAAUGGGGAAACCGUUUGCUGAGGCCAUCAAGAUUGGUGAGAUGGUCGAGAAUAGUCUAAAAACAGGGCGCAUACUAAGCCAAUCUGCCAUAAGAUCUACAUCCCAAGCAAUUCAAGGUGGGUCCGGGGGCGUAGCAAAUAGAAAGAAGAAAGAAGAGGUGGCAAUGGCAGCUUUAAGUCUGAGAAACCCCCGUCCACCCAGAGGUUACUUCCCUCCAAACACCCCACCACAUUAUUAUCCUCAUCAGGAUGUGGCUUAUGCUAUGGCUCCUCAGCCGUACACAAUAAUGAAUGCCCAGCCAUACGCUUGUCCACAACAACAGUUCAACCAAAAUCGAGCUCCAUUUCCUAGAAACAACCCUCCUCACCAAGCUUAGUAUAAUCCCCGGCCUCUACAAAAUAAUUUCCCCUUCAAUGCCCGUGCUCGGGAGCCACCCAGAAGAACAAACUUCACGCCUAUUGGUGAGUCAUACUCUAUCCUUUUCCCUAAACUGGUCCAAAUGGGUCUAUUGCAACCCGUACCCCAGACCAGGCAAAAUCCAAAGUCGCAAUCCUACAGAAUCGGUACUCGAUGUGCUUACCAUUCGGUAGCGGAAGGGCAUGACACUAAAGACUAUUGGACUCUGAAAAGGGUUGUUGAAAAUCUCAUAGAGCAGAAAUGGAUAGUGCUAAAGGAUGAAGAAAUUCCUAAUGUGACCAACAACCCAUUACCGGCUCACAACAACGGACCAGUUAUUGGAAUGAUUUGCAAAGAUAAAGAGUUUGAUCCCGCUUUGAAAGCCAUCAUUGCGAUUGUUGAUGUCGAGAAGAAGCCAAAGGUUGCUGCAAAGCAAGACAAGGGGGAGAAUAAGAGUAAACCCACCCCUCAAAAUAUAGAAAAGACAGUGGAAACCAAAAGUGGGGCAGUACCUCAAAAAGAUGUCAUUCUUUAUGUUCCCCGGGGUCACAGGAAAGAACAAAUGACAUUGAGCCCUCCAAGAAGGUUCGAGCUGAAUAAGGGAUCUAAGAUAUAUGUGCCUAAAGGGACUUAUGUGGUACGUGGGCUAGUAAUUUCACCAAGGCUGAAUGAGCCCGUGGUUAUUGGUCGCGCACCGCAAAAGCCCAUGACAGACCCUGCUGCCGUCCCAUGGAAUUACAACAAGCCGGUAGUAACCAACAAAGGAAAGGGGGUCCUGGGAGAAGCAAAUGAAACUAACCCAGUCGAGAAAUACCUCAAUCUGGAGGAAGUAAAGAGAGCCAAACAAAAACACUUCCGAUCAGAAAUCCAAUUAGUGCCAAAGAAGAAGAAGAGUUCUUCCGUAAAAUGUAAACUAUGGAGUAUGAGGUAAUAGACCAACUCUGAAAGUAUCCUUCACAGGUCUCACUCUUGUCUCUACUGGUAAGCUCAACUGAGCAUCAGAAAGUGUUGAUAAAGACCCUCAACAAAGCUUAUGUUCCAAUUGAAACCACUGUCGAGCAACUGGAGAAGAGGCGGAAAGAUUCUUCGUAGUUAAUCAAAUUUCCUUUAGCAAGAAUGAUUUGCCCCCGGAAGGGGUCGCCCACAACAAAGACCUCCAUCUGAAAGUUAAAUGUGAGGGGUACUAUGUGAAGAGAGUCAUGCUGGAUGGCGGAUCCGGAGUUGAUAUCUACCCUCUCUCAACUUUGCAAGAAUGGAGAUUGGGACUGAGAGAAUCAGGCCUAACAAUGUCUAUGUGCGUGCCUUUGAUGGCAUCAAGAGAGAUACCAUAGGUGAGAUUGACUUGAUCUUGACUAUUGGUCCUGUGGAUUUCGAGGUGAUCUUUUAGGUCCUAGACAUAGACACUUCCUAUAAUUUCCUCUUGGGAAGACCUUGGAUUCAUGCGGCAGGGGCCAUACCUUCCACUCUCCACCAGAUGGCAAAAUUUGAAUAUGAAGACCAGGAAAUUGUGGUUCAUGGAGAAGAUGAGCAGUCAAUUUACCGGGACCCAUCAGUCUCAUGUCUCAAAGCCAGGGAAGGUAGCGAGCAUAUAGUUUAUUAAGCUUUUGAGGUGGUGGUCGCAGAUCAAUGUGAGGAGGGAAACCCUUGUCCUUAGCCUUUUCUGUCAAAUUCAUCCAUCAUGGUCAUUGUUGAAAUGAUCAAGCAUGGUUAUAAACCUGGGAAGGGACUCAGGCAUCAUUGCAAGGUAUCAUAGAACCUAUCACUCUACCUGCCAAAGAAGUUCUUCGGUAUGGGUUUUCGUUCCACAGAAGCUGAUGUGACAUUGGCAAAUGAGUGAAAGAGCAAUGGUUCGGUUUUACCUCAGCUGGUUCCACACCUCUACAAAACAUUCGUCCAGCCCAAGUACAAUGAAGAAGAAGAAGAUGAGGCCUUCACGGCCGAGAAAAUUGAAGAAAUAUGUGGGAGCUAUGAGGCAAAUGUUGUAUGAAACCUACAUGGUUUAUCCAGGAGAAGGCUCGAGCACCGCUGAGGUGCUGUAUAUGGGGCCCAAUGCCAAGUUACAAAACUGGAAGGCUACUCCAUUCCCAAUCAGGCGGGAAUCCCGAUAGUCCAGUCUUGCGACCUUUUCUACAUCACGAGUUAUUUCAGGGUGUAACUCGGAUGUUUCUUUUAGUUUAUUGUCUUUAAAUUCCAAUGUAAACCUUGUUAUCUUCAAAAUUCAAUGAAAUAAAAUCAAUAUUUCAUCGUUCAACUCUCUUUAUUCUUUCUGAUUUUUGUUAAUUUUUCUUAUUUCUUCUUUCAGUCCUAAUAACGCGGCUUUAAAUAAUGUGACAUGCUUGCGGACUUCAUGCACAGAUCCAAACACGUUAUCUCAUUGUGAAAUAAUGAAUCAAGAACUGGAAUACGAUGAAAAAGAGGCUUUUAGGGAAAUAAAUCAAGAAUUGGAACAAUUCGAGAAUAAACCUAAGCCAAACUUAAAUGAAACCGAGCCGGUUAAUUUGGGUAGUUCUGAAGAGGUCCAAGAAACCAUGAUGAGCAUUCACACAGAUGAAAGAACUAGGGAUGCCCUGAUCCAACUUUUGUUUGAAUUCAAAGAUGUGUUUGUGUGGUCCUACGAUGACAUUCCAGGAUUAAGUGUUGAUCUAGUGGUACACAAAUUGCUGACUUACCCCGAUUAUCCCCCUAUCCAGCAAAAACAAAGGAAAUUCAAAACUGAUAUCAACGACAAGAUCAAAGAGGAAGUCACCAAACAGUUGAAGGCAGGGGUGAUCCGAGUGGUCCGAUACACCACAUGGUUGGCCAAUGUGGUUCCCGUGCCAAAGAAAGAUGGGAAAAGUCGAGUGUGUGUUGAAUACUGAGAUCUGAAUAAAGCAAGUCCCAAGGACAACUUCCCUUUGCCAAACAUCCAUAUCCUUAUUGAUAACUGUGCCAAACAUGAGAUACAAUAUUUCGUGGAUUGUUAUGCAGGAUAUCAUCAGGUGUUGAUGGAUGAAGAGGAUACGAAAAAGAUAGCCUUCACCACUCCCUGGGGUACCUAUUAUUACAGGGUCAUGCCUUUUGGUUUGAAGAACAUCGGGGCAACUUAUAUGAGGGUCAUGACUGCCAUCUUUCACGACAUGAUGCACCAAGAAAUCGAGGUGUAUGUGGACGAUGUGAUCAUCAAAUCCAGAACACAGGACGACCAUGUUUGGACCUAAAAAAGUUUUUUGAGCAGCUGCACAAGUAUGAUUUGAAGCUAAAUCUGGCUAAAUGUGCAUUUGGGGUUCCGUCUGGCAAACUCUUAGGAUUUAUAGUCAGUCGGAGGGGCAUUGAGUUAGAUCCAACGAAAAUAAAGUCUAUUCAGGAUUUGCCUCCUCCGAAAACUAAGAAAGACGUUAUGAGCCUGCUGGGAAGGUUGAAUUACAUCAGCCGGUUCAUUGCUCAGUUGACUUCCACCUGUGAGCCUAUAUUCAAACUGUUGAAGAAAGAUGCGGCGAUUAAAUGGAUAGAUGAGUGUCAAGAAGUUGUCGACAAAAUCAAAGACCCGCCAGUCUUGGUCCCACCCGAACCUGGAAGGCCUUUGUUUUUGUAUCUAACAGUCUUGGAGAAUUCUUUCGGCUGUGUCCUGGGGCAACUGAUGUGACCAAGAAGAAAGAGCAGGCAAUCUACUAUUUGAGUAAGAAGUUCACAAGUUAUGAGGCCAAAUAUAUCUUGUUGGAAAGGAUUUGGUGUGCCUUAACUUAGGUCGCUCAGAAGCUUAGACAUUACCUGUUGGCCUAUACCACUUACCUCAUCACCAGGUUAGAUCCUUUAAAGUACAUAUUCCAGAAACCGAUGCCCACAGGGAGGUUAGCAAAAUGGUAGAUUCUGUUCACAGAAUUUGACAUAGUUUAUGUCACCUGUAUGGCAAUGAAAGCCCAGGCUUUAACAGAUCACCUAGCCGAAAACCCUAUUGAUGAUGAGUAUCAGCCUUUGAGUACUUACUUUCCGGACGAGGAGGUGAAUUCAGUUGAGGUAACAUCAGAAGAUACCAAUACUUGGAAAAUGUUCUUCGAUGGAGCCGUGAACGCAAAAGGUGUUGGGAUUGGGGUAUUUUUUAUCUCACCCCUGGUCAACACUAUCCAGCCAUAUCCUGGCUUCGGUUUUUCUGCACAAAAAAAAAACUUCCGAGUAUGAAGCCUGCAUUAUGGAUAUGAAUAUGGCAAUCGACCAAGAUGUUGAGGAACUAUUGAUCAUGGGGGAUUCAGACUUGAUUAUCCGACAAGCUCAGGGUGAAUGGGAAACUCGGGAUGUCAAGCUUAUUCCAUAAAGGCAACAUAUGGAAGAUCUUAGCAAGCGGUUCAAGUCAGUCGAGUUUAGGUACAUCCCUCGUUUUCACAAUGAAUUGGCUGAUGCACUCGCUACUUUGGCCUUGAUGUUGUCGUAUCCAGGCAAUCUCCACAUUGAACCGUUGGAAAUCCAAAUCCGAAAAAGGCAGGGUUACUGCAAUACGAUUGAGGCAGAACCGGAUGUUCAGCCAUGGCAUCAUGAUAUCAAGAGAUUUCUUAAAACUAAAGAAUAUCCUGAUCAAGCCAGUGGAGACCAAAAGAGAACCAUUAGACGGCUUGCAAGCAAUUUCUUCUUGAGCGGUGAGGUCUUGUACAAAAGGACUCCAGAUCUCAACUUGUUAAGUUGUGUUGACGCCGAAGAGGCCAGAAGAAUCAUGUAUGAAGUUCACGCAGGAGUAUGGACCCUACAUGAAUGGAUACGUCUUGGAAAAUAAAAUCCUUCGAGCAGGCUAUUACUGGAUGACUAUGGAAAAAGAUUGCUUCAAUUUUAUCCAGAAAUGUCAUCAGUGUCAGGUACACGGUGACAUGAUUCAUGUGCCGCCUACAGAAGUGCAUCCUAUGUCAGCACCAUAGCCGUUCGUUGCUUGGGGUAUGGACGUCAUUGGGUCGAUCGAGCCAAAAGCUUCAAAUGGGCAUAGAUUCAUAUUGGUCGCCAUCGACUACUUCACAAAGUGGGUUGAAACAAUUACUCUCAAAGCUGUCACUAAGAAAGAUGUGGUAGACUUCGUGCACUCCAAUAUCCUCUGCCGUUUUGGUAUUCCUGCAACUAUCAUUACGAAUAAUGCUGAAAACUUGAAUAGUCACUUGAUGAGGGAGAUAUGUGAGCAGUUUAAGAUCACGCAUCGAAAUUCUACCCCUUAUCGGCCCAAAGCCAAUGGUACUGUUGAAGCAGCAAACAAGAACAUCAAGAAGAUUCUGAGAAAGAUGAUCCAAAGUUCCAGGAAAUGGCAUGAAAAGUUGUCGUUUGCAUUGUUGGGAUAUCGCACAACUGUGCGCACAUCAGUCGGAGCAACCCCAUAGCUUUUGGUAUAUGGCACUGAAGCCGUGAUACCCGCAGAAGUUAAAAUCCCUUCUCUUCGAAUCAUUGUUGAAGCUGAAAUUGAGGACAGUGAAUGGGUAAAAACCCGUCUGGAACAGUUAACCCUGAUCAAUAAAAAGCAAAUGGCCACAUUCUGCCAUGGGUAGUUGUAUCAACAAAGAAUGGCCCGUGCCUACAACAAGAAAGUGCGGCCUAGGAACUUCGAAGUGGGGCAACUCAUUUUGAGGCUUAUUCUCCCUCACCACCAGGAAGCAAAAGGAAAGUUCACUCCUAACUGGAAGGGCCCAUAUAUUAUCAGAAAAUUAUUGCCAAAAGGGUCGUUAUACCUGGGAGACAUCGAAGGAAAUGACCCCGAAACAGCUGUAAAUGCAGACGCAGUCAAAAGAUAUUAUUUCUAGUCUUUCUACAGCACUGAUACUAUCCGAUUGGGAAGACGAAGUCUUUCAUUCUCGCUACCCCAAACACUCCAAUCCUUUGCUAACCCUUUGAGCCAGUUACCUUUCCUUCAUUACCCUCUUUGGAACUUGAAAACGUUUGUAAAAAAAUAAAAUCAAAUCAAUAUCAGAAAUCAACAAAUCAACAAAAGAAAAACAAAACAAAAGUUUUCCCUGAACUACGUUUGACUUGAUUCUGAAAGGAUACGUAGGCAGCCUAUCUCUAGGGUUCAGUCAUACCAAAAUAAAAAUUCAAUUUCCCCUCAAAAGUGAAACUAGGGCAGAUGUUAUAAUGGUUCGAUGAUAGUUCGCCAGAAAAGUUCCAAAGUUAUAAUUUGAUCCAAACUCUUUUUACCCUAAAUCCCGUUCAAGUUCUUCUGAUCAAGAGAUAGGACGUUCAAGACUUGGAGAAUGUGGUUGCUUGGAUCUGAUACAAACAAAUAAGAGAAAUAAAAUGAGAGAGUUUUAUUGGUGAAAACCCACACGGACACCGUAAGAUGAUGGAAAGCAAAGAAAUUAAAAAAAUGAGAGAGUUUUGUUAGUGAAAACUCGUAAAGAGCAUUAUAAGGCGACGAUGAGAAGAGAAAUGAGAGAGGUCAAUUGGCGAAAACCCGCAAAGGGCACCGUUGAUCAAAAAGAAGAAAUCCCUUACAACCAUUGGCACUAAAAGAGUCCUGGAAGGUUUCUCGGUUUUAAAACACGGGUCAUAAUGGGUUUAUGAGAAUUUGGAUAGUUGCGCUGAUCGGGUAUCCAGUCCAAGAAGCAUGUCAUGUCUAUUGAAGUCUGCAUGCACUCCAGAUAAGUCCUUCUUUCUCUCCCCCGAAAGGGAUGCUUCUCGUUAAAUUCAUUAUCCUGUCCUUUGUUUACUUUUCUUUAAGUCCCUUUCGGUCUAAUCCCUCUUCGAAACUGAUACAAAGAAAAGAUAGCAAGACUGGUUGUACAGGGUUCUACUUAACAAAAGCCAAAUUCAAAGAAAAGCACCCAGCCUCAGCAGGUGCAUCAAGUCGAUCUCGACUGGCCAUGAUGGUCGAUGCUCCAGGUUCAAAUUCAUUGAAAAGGGAAAGAAAUCCAAAGUCAAAUGUCCAUAAAGGCGAAAUAAGAGGAAAAGGCCAAAACCCUACACAGGUUGAACCAUCGUAUUGAAAAUUUUAGAAAGUCAAAAUCCCUAGUUUUAGAAGAGAGAUCGAUCUCCAGAAAGCCAGCAGGCAACAGAGAUGUUCAUCGAAAGAGUUGGGUCGAGAUCAAGUGAUCAAAACAAUCAAGGCCACAAAACUAACUACCAAUUCAAACUAACAAUUGUUCUUUGUUUGAAAACAUGAAACAGGAGCAAUGCAAAGCAACCUUGCAAGAAACGGGUGUAACAAGACACUACGCAAGUACUAAAAACAGCUUUGCAGCAACGAUCCAGAAAGGGAAGUCCCCUCCAAAUUCUUUCCCGCAUUUACUCAUUCCAUGAAAUAAAGGAAGAAACAAAAUGAAAAAAAAAGAGAUAAGAAGAAAAUUCAAAAUAAUGGUAGCCUAGGAUCCCCAAUAUCUAAUUAUGUUUUUCCAACAUAGGAUCUCCACUCCCUAGUUGAUUUUGUUUUAGACAUAAGGUCUCCACUCCCUAGUCAAUUUCCCAACAUAGGGUCUUCACUCCCUAGUUGAAGUUAUUUUAGACAUAGGUCUCCACUCCAUAGUCGCUUUUCCAACAUAGGGUCUCCACUCCCUAGUUUAGUUUAUUUUAGACAUAGGGUCUCCACUCCCUAGUCGCCUUUCCAACAUAGGGCCUCCACUCNNNNNNNNNNNNNNNNNNNNNNNNNNNNNNNNNNNNNNNNNNNNNNNNNNNNNNNNNNNNNNNNNNNNNNNNNNNNNNNNNNNNNNNNNNNNNNNNNNNNNNNNNNNNNNNNNNNNNNNNNNNNNNNNNNAAGUCGCCUUUCCAACAUAGGGUCUCCACUCCCUAGUUGAUUUUAUUUUUAGACAUCGGGUCUCUACUCCCUAGUCACCUUUCAAACAUAGGGUCUCCACUCCCUAGUCGCCUUUCCAACAUAGGGUCUCCACUCCCUAGCUUAGUUUAUUUUUAGAUAGUAGGUAGAUGUUUUUCCAACAUAGGAUCUCCACUCUAUGGUUGAUUUUAGUAUAGAUAUAGGGCUCCACUCCCUAAUCUCUUCUUCCCAAGGAUACACAAUCCUUAUUUUAUUUGCUUUCAAAUAAAGAAAUAGUUUAGAUUUUGUUACAAUAACUCACGAAAUUUUCCUAGUGAAAACUAGGGCAGAAAAACUUCAUUCGUUUAUUUGCUUUGGUGCCUGAACAGGUUUUUACCGUGGGGCACAAGGUUUGAGAUGACCAAAAUAAGAAGUCUCAACCCAAAUAAAAGAAAAGAAGUUGAAUUCAAGAUGCAGAAGCGGAGAAAAGAUGUGGACUACUCAAAUUUGAUUGAAGUCACAAGCUUCGCAUGUCCCGCCGUGAUCUGAAAAGCUGAAGAAGAAUGAACCAACAGUUGCAACUAACGAGCGUCAAGAUUCAAACCAGAGUUUACAGGAAGAAUCAUCCAAGAUUCAAGAUCAAGUUUUAGAAGGUUUAUAGAUAAGAAUCUUGUAACUCGUAGUUGAUAGACUUAGCUAGCUUAGCUUCUUAUCUUUCAUUUUGGUGUAAUAAGGAGCUCAACAAGCAAAAACAACAGCAACAACAGUGAAAUCACAGUUCCCUAUUAGUCCCAGCUACCAAAACUUCCAGAACUACACUGACCUGAUUCUUUUAUAGCCAAGGAUAUGUAGGCAACCUCAGAAGCAAGGUUCGGUCAGGCUCCUUAAAAAAUGCUUCUCAUAGAGUUACAAAUGGGAAAAAAUCCCUCAUAAUUGCUCAUUUUGUCUUUGCCCGAAAGUCUGUCGUGUUUCCGAGCAAAGAGGGGCAGCUGUGAGCAUGUGGAUUUUGCCCUAUAUGAAAUACUCCUAUAAAAUCCCAAGAAAAUAGGUUUUCUGUUAAUUAUUUGCCAUUUUAGGAAUUUUUAUAGAAUUUUUUUAAUUAUUUGCAUUUCUGUGCAUGUUUAAUUUUUAUUUAAAUCAUGAAAAAAUACAAAAAUAUUAUGCAUUGCACUUAGGAUUUGUUUUUAUAUUUUUAGAAUUAAUCAGUAAUUAUUUGCUUUAUAAAAAUUUAAAAAUCACAAAAAAUAGCUCAUUUUUACAUUUCUGUCUUUUAAUUUUUAGUUUAUUGAUUUUUCUCUUUUAAUUUAGAAUUAAGUGAUGUUUAUAAUUUUUUAUAAUUAGUUAACUAGUUUAAUUUCAAAUUUUAGAUAAUUUAAGAUUUUUAAUUAUUGGGGUUUUUAAUUAAAAAAAGAGAGAUUAAAGAUAUAAUAAAAGAAAGAAGAAAAAAAUGAUUUUUAAAGUGGGUCUAGCAUACUUGGGUUGCACCUUUAAAACCUUCAGCCCAAACACUUCCCUUUACAGCCCCAGCCCAAAAAUUGGACCAAACCCGCCUAUUUUUGACCCGCCCGUCUCCCUCCAUACAUAAACCUUGUUAUAUCAUUUCUCACACCCAAACCCUAGAUCUAAAUAACAUUGAAACGGUGAUGUUCAUCAUUUUCCUCAUUGAGCUCGGUCCUCAACUCGCCAGGAACUCAGGCAAGUUCACUCAAAUGGGACCCCUCCCCUCCACGUCAUUUUAUUUCCAACAGUUUUUUGUCAGAGAGGAACGAAUAUUGUCUCCAAAUUUUGCACGAUUUUAGUACAAUAGAACGAUUUGCUGGAUGAAUGGGAGCCGUGGAUAGAUGUAAAUCGAUCCAUGCCUUCCAUCUGUCCCAAAAAUCAUUCAAAACAUGAAGAUUUUCGGAUAUUUGGGCAGAAAUUUUGAGAUUUUUUGAGGGUUAUAUAUAUGAGGUAUGUUUUCUUUUUCAAGGUUAAGGAAAAAUCAGAAAAAUCUAGGGAAAAUUUUAAAAACUUAGUGAUGGAAUUUCUAGGGUUUUGAAGUUUCUCCCUUCUCUCCACCCCUUUUUCUUUUUUAGUGAGGCAUUUUUUAGAAAACGAAAAAUAUACAAAAUCAUAGUGUGAGUUUUGGGUUUAGACAAAAAAAAUUGUUUCAUUUCGAAAGGGAUUAAAAUUUUACAAAUCUCAGCAUUUUCCUUGGAUCUUUGGUUUUUUCAAAAAUUGUUUAUGAUUGAGUUUGUGGCUGGGAUUUGGAAUUUGGGUGUUGUGGAUUCCUGUUCGAGUUUUUUUUGGCAGCAAUCUGGUCUUGGCUGAACUUUUUUGAGCUCCAGAUUAGUCGUGGAAACUCUUGCUGUUCAGAAAAUUAUUUUCUGAUUUUUCUUCGACUAUUGGAGACCAGCUGCUGUUUUCUUCUUGAUCUUGCUCGACCUUUAUUUUGUCUGAUUCUUUCUCUUAUUGUGUUUUCUAGGUAAACAUAUACUACCUCAUGUUGUUGGUUUUAUUGAUGUAUUAAAGAUUGUGAUGGGAUGACAUUAUUUUUUAUCCGGCAAGAUUGUGUUUAAGCUAGCUUGAAUGGUCAUUUGAUUUUAACAAUAGAAGAGUUAAAAAAUGUUCUUGGCUCUGUUGUGUUGUUUCGUGUUUUUAAAACUCACAGCUACACAUACACACUCAUUACAUUUAGUCAUUCAUAUUUUUCUAAGGUUAUUGUGUUGAUUUACUGAAGAGUGAGAUGAACUUGUAAAUUUAAGUUGGAUUUUUAAGCUGAUGAAUCUAGAUGAGGGGUUUAAAUUAUUUUACUUCCCUCAUCAAGACAUAACAGAAUAUGUGUGUGUGUUUGGUUUUAGGUUCGCUUAAUCACUUCUUCUCUCUUUCUUUAUCAACUAUCUCUCCUAUUAGAAUCCCUUCAUAUAUAAAAAGGAUCUUGUGUAAUUGUUCUGUUGCAUUUCUUCAUUUCUGUCCCAAACUAUAAUGCAGUCUAAUUUGAUAAAAAUGUAUGUUUAGAGCUGUUGGUAUUUGGAGUUUCCAUAAGAAGUGUACAUGCUAUCCUAUGCCUUUGUUGUCAUAGAUUCUUUUGGACAUUUUACAUGAGACGAGUUGAUCCUGAAUCUAGGUGUGUUCCUUAAAUAGAAAAGUAUCCAGGGGUUGUUUGGAUGUACGUGAUGUAUUAGGUUUUGUAAAAUUGGGUUUUUUUAUUUGGUUAGAUCUUUGCCUUGGCUAUUUCUUGUUUUAAAAGGUUCUGUAAGUUACCUAAAAUAGGUUCAGAAGCAAGAGUAUGUUUGAAUUCAUGUUUUAGCCCUAUGUUAGUUGAUAGGUUUUUGCUGAAGAAAUGCAUCAUAUAUAGUUUACAAGCAGCUCCUCCUACUUUGUUUACUGUUGAACACUUUUAGUUUCUUUGUGAAUUGGAAUCCACAUGUAGUGUCAGGAAAAUUUUAUUUUAUCUAGUAAGUUUGAGAUUGAAAUAUAUUAAAAAGUGAAGUCCCAGACUAUUUGUUGCUUGUUUCUCAUUGAUUGUGUAUGGAUGUAAGGCAUGUACAACUUGUUUAUGAACGGCCCAGAGCAAUAAUUUUUUUUGGGCCUCAGUAAUCAUCUUUCUUUUGGCAUGCAUUGGGUUUAAUUGUUUGACUUGCAUCUGGGCUCAAUUAUGAGCCCAAUGAGUGAUAAUGCCCAUCUCAUUUAAAAAAAGUGUGCAUUGAUACACUGGGCCUGCCGUUGGCCCAGUUCCCACCUCGAUCAGUUUAGGCCUGUUUGCUUUGCUUUACACAUUAAUCAAGGGCCUGAGCCCAAGUUUGGAUGCAAAUAACCUUAGGUUUAAUUAAGUGUAAUCCCUUUAAAAUGGUUGGAGGAGUGCCAUUUUUCAUUAAAAUUACCCAUGACCCUCUUAUUAGCAAUACAAAAUUUAGAAGUAAUUAAUUCUUUAAAUACCUGUAGUUUGCUUUAGAUGCGCAAUUAAAUUAUUACGACUAUGGGUACGGUUCCCGUGACGUGGUUGUGAUAAUUAGUUUUAAAUUAUGUUAAAAUAAGUGUACCUUUAGAUUGCCUUUAAAAUAUAUACCCCUUUUCCUAAAACAAUUUGAGGUGUGUCAUGCUUAAAACCCAUAAUAUAUGGCCCUCACAAAUUUAAUUCAAGAGUUUAAUACUUCUAAAAUUGAGGUGUGCCAUCAAUUUAACUCUCCCUAGCCCUCACAAAUGUUGUUAUUAAUUUGAACAUUCGUAGUUUCCUUAGGCGCGUUCUUUAAUUAAUUCCAUCAUAGCUAUAGGUGCGGUUCCUGUGACGUAGUUGUGAUUUCUUUUAAAAUUUCGGGCGUACAUUUCAUGUAACCCAAGUUCAAUUUCUCAACAAUGUAAAAUGGAACGUAUUGCGAACUGCGGGUGCGUUUCAUGUAGCGUGGUUCAAGGUGUGAUUUAAAUAACGUUGAAUCUUCCUAAAAUUGUUUUAAAAUAAUUAAAAGCGGUUCUAAAGCGAAAAAAAUACAAUAGGUUAAAACAUGUAGUAAAUCAGAUAAUAGGCCAAUUUUAAUAGUUUAAGCGACCGUGCUCGAACCACGGAACCCGGGAAUGCCUAACACCUUCUCCCGGGUUAACAUAAUUCCUUAUCUAAAAUUUCUGGUUUCGCAGACUUUUUUUGAUAAAGUCGAAUUUUCCUCGAUUUGAGAUUUAGAAUAAACUGCUGACUUGGGACACCCUAAAUUAUUCCAAGUGGCGACUCUAUAAUAAAUAAAUAAUCCCAUUUUGAAUAAUGUCACUUUAAUUGGAAAAACUCCCUUAUAUACCCUCGGGUGUAAAAAAAGGAGGUGUGACACCGAGCGCAAACGAACAAUCAUCAUUUCGAUCCCGGAGGAUGCACGAGUUUUUGUCGCCUCCGUAUCGGUGGCUAGUUACCUUUGAAGUCUGGUCAUGGAAGAAGACCAAGCUUUGAUGGACGAGGUGGGAGCACCAUGUCUCUUUAAUGAGGCCCAACAGGCUUUGAAUCAGGUAAGCCCUAACCUUCAUUGUCAAUACCAGUUUCCAUACUUGUGUUUUUCUUUUCUUGCCUAAUUUUUUUUCUUCUAUUUAUGUAGGCCUCGGUGCUUCAUCACGAAGCUUUCUUUAGGUUUUGAGGAGAACUGAGUCGAUAUGAGGCUGAUAUCCAUGGGCUCACCGAGGAGAACAAUGCCUUUAAACUUUUUAGUGAACAUAAAGAAGAAAAAAUCAAGGGCCUCCAAGCUGAACUGGUCGCGGCUCAAAAAGAACAGAGCGAACUGACCAGCAGGUAAUAAAAGUAUUAGAAGCUCAUGAAAUCGGUUUGGGAGUGAUGGAUAACAAUUCGAUCUCAUAUGUCCAGUAGCUACAUGAGACAAUUGAGCAACUCCGUGGAGAGGUAGAUACGAUGAAGGCAGAAACCAUAGCGUGGAAGAAAAAUAUGGACCACCUUGCCUCAGAGAAAGAGACUACUAGAGCUUAGUUAUCCUCAACUAAAAUCCAACUCCAAGGCAUGAAGGAGAAGAAUUUGGCACAAGCCAAGAAAAUUGAGGAGCUCCAGGCUCGGUUGGUCACGAAACUUGCAGUGGCAAAAUCUAAGGCUGAGACGGCUAAGGCCGAUGCUGAGGCAAUCGUGGCCAUCUACAAGUCUGAUGCCGAAGCCGCUCAAGCUCGAGCAAAGGAAAUUGAUGAUACUGCUCAGACUCGAGCAUACUGGGUUGCUGAGCUUGCCAAGUGCCAGUCUUGAAGGGAGACUCUCGUGGAGAUCCACGCUCGUGGCUUUGAUCUCGCUGCCGAGAUCAAAGAUGCAAAAGAGCUUGAACCCGAAGCCAAAGCAUUGGUCUCUUCUAGUGAUGAUGAUUCCAGGAGUAUGAGUGGAUCCAAGAGCGGAGAAUACCCCGAGGGUGAAGAUAUUGCUCCUGAAGAAGAUUAAGUACUUAGGGUUUUUUUUGGAUUUUUUGCAUAGAAUUCCGAUCGGGCCAUGUUGCCCUUGUAAAUAACUUUGACGUAUAUAAAGAUCUUUCUCGUGAAAUUUCAUUUCACUUACGCCUUAUGAAAUUUGUGCUUUAUUUAUGCCUUGUGAAAUUAUUAUUCAUAGGUUCGAGGUUCAGGUAAUUCGACCAAAAUAGAACUAGCAUAGCUUUUAUCGAGUGAGUUCUUGCUCAGACUCGAAGUAAGGUAACCCUUAGGUUUUAUAUGAAUUAGGACGAUCUUUUGAACUCAAAGCAAGAGAUAGCCCUUAGGCUUUUGUAUUAGGCCGACAUGGCCUUUGUACAAAGAAUUUCUAUGGCUUUUUCCCCCUUUUUCGGCUUGAAAAGUUUUUGUCAUUUAUAUUUGUAAAACCUGUAAUGCCUUAGCAUGGAAUAAGGGAUUGUUCGAGUGUUCCAAAAAUUUUGUACUCAUUAGAGUUUUCAGGGCUUGAUAUUAUCGAAGCCCUUCAUAAUUUUGCUGAGGGUAGCCCUUUUAACCGAUUUAUGAAAAUAUUCGAAGGCCUGUUUUAUUACGGAAUUUGGACGUCUCCAAACCGUGUUAAUUUGGCCGUAGCCUUUUUAUUUGGGACUUGACCCUUAGGCUUAUUUUCCCAUUUCACCUCGAGCUUGCCCGAAGUGUCAGUCCCCGAGUGGGGUGGCCGUGGCCUAUAAAAUCAAGGGCCGCCUUUAAGGUCUUAUUAUCUUGAAGUUUUAAUAAUUUGAUCUCGUUUGUUUUUCGAACGUCAGUCCCCGAGCAUGGGGUUCUGUUAUGAUCGGCCCUUAAGCCUGUUCACAUAAUAGAUCAAGAGUACGAAAUUGUAAAGUAGAAAAAAAUUUCUAAGGCAUGAGAUAUCGGCAAGGAAAAAUAUAUCUUUUAAUAGGUGAUUAUACAUGCGUACAUGUUUGAUCUAGGGCUCGAGUAACCUAUAUGGGCACGGUUAGUUCGAACACUUGGCCCUUACAAAAUUUACCUACUGAGACCCCGUAGUUACGAAGUCAUUUCCUUGCAGCAAAGUUGAUAUUCGAGGGUAAUGCCCCCUAGUAUUCGAGGUUGAUUGUAAAGAAGCCUUGGAUACUGUUGAAUUAUUAUAUGUUAGCACGAUCAAUGGUUGCCUCGUUAAAAACCUCACCGAAAAAUCCAUUUGGGACAAAAACAAGUCUAAGGGAAAAAGAGUGUAACACGUGCUUUCAUACCUAAAGACUUCAUAUUGAAGAAUCCAUUACCGUCCUCGAUCGAACACCUGCAAUUGAUUAGUUUAAAAUAUAAAUGAAAAUGGAAAAGGUCGUACCUUAGCAGUAGUAUCACUUUAGAAGUGACACAUUCUAAUUGUCUAGUAAUUGUUUGUCGUUCAUUGUGCUGAGCUUGUAAGAUCCCUUUCCAAUAAUGUCGUGGACCUGAUAUGAUCCCUCCCAAUUUGGAACCAGUUUUCCUUCAUUUGGGUUUCGAGUGUUGAGGGUGACUUUAUUUAGCACCAUGUCCUCAAUUUUAAAGUGUCAAAGAUUGGCUUUUUGGUUGUAGUACCUUUCAAUCAGCUAUUUUUGUGUGGCCAAUCGAACGAGGGCAGCCUCGCGUCUUUCAUCCAACAAUUCUAGGCUCGUAUUCAUGGCCUCGUUAUUCGAUUAUUCUAUUACAUAUCAAAACCUAAGGCUAGAUUCCCCUACCUCGACCGGGAUAAGGGCUUCGGCACCAUAGACCAAAGAGAAUGGUGUUGCCCCCAUCCUGGAUUUCGACAUCGUGCGGUACGCCCAAAAAACCUUGGGCAAUACCUCUCUCCAUUUUCCAUUAGUGCCGGUCAAUCUUUUCUAAAGAUUUUGAAUGAUGGUUUUGUUGGUUGAAUCGGCUUGUCCGUUUCCACUAGGAUGGUAUGGCGUUGAUAGAAUCCUUUUAAUCUUGUGAUCCUCGAGAAAUUUAGUCACUUUGAUACCGAUGAAUUGCUUUUUGUUGUCCCACAUGAUCUCGGUAAGCAUCCCAAAUAGGCAUAUAAUGUGGUCCCAAAUGAAGUCUAUGACUUCUUUUUCUAUGACUUUCUCGAAAGCCUGUGCUUCAACCAAUUUAGAAAAAUAAUCAGCAAUAAAUAAAAUAAACUGAGCUUUACCUGGGGCCGAUUGUAGAGGGCUGACGAUGUCCAUUCCGCAUUUCAUGAAUGGCCAUGGGAUAAGAUCGAAUGGAGCUGCUCCCCGGGCUGGUGAAUCAUCGACGCAUAUCUUUGACAUUUAUCGUACUUUCGAACGAACUCGUUUGUAUCCUUUUCCAUAUCAGCCCAAUAGUACCCUGCUUUGAUGAAUUUCUGAACCAGUGAUUCGGCACCGGAAUGGUUCCCAUAGGUGCCUUCGUGAAUUUCCCAUAGGACCUACUCAGUGUCUUCUAGUCCCAAACAUAUUGCCAAUGACACAUUAAACAUCCUCCUUAAUAAUGUCCCAUCCUCGGCCAAAGUGAACCGUGCUGCCUUGGUGCGUAGAGUUCUUCACUCCUUCGGAUCAGACAGGAGUUUCCCGUUCUUUAGGUAUUCAAUAUACUUGUUCCUCUAAUCCCAGGUCAAACUUGUAGAGUUUAUUUUGGCAUGACCUUCUUCGAUUACUAAUCUCGAUAUUUGUACGACAGUCCCUGAGUUAAGUUCGUCAUCCUCGACUGAUGACCCCAAGUUUGCAAAGGCAUCGGCCUCGCUAUUUUGUUCCUGAGGUAUGUAUUGUAAGGUCUAGUCUUUAAAUUGAUGUAAAGUUACCUGUAGCUUAUCCAAGUAUCUCUACAUUCGAUCUUCUCGGACUUCAAAAGUUCUGUUGACUUGGUUUACCAUAAGUAGGGAAUCAUAUUUGGCCUCGAUGACCUCUGCUCCCAAACUUUUAUCCAGCUCGAGACCUACAAUCAUGGCCUCAUACUCGGCCUCAUUGUUAGUUGACUUCGAAGUUUUGAUAGACUGUCCAAUUAUUUUACCCAUGGGUGAUUUCAAAAUGUUGCCCAGCCCGAACCCUUUCAUGUUCGAAGCACUGUUUGUGAAGAGGGUCCACACCACUGAUGGUGUACUCAAUUUUAGUAAUAGUUCCUUAUCGACCUCGGGUACGAGGGCUAGUGUAAAAUCAUCCACGAAGUCUGCCAAGAUUAGGGACUUGAUGGUCGUUCGGGGUUGAUACUCGAUAUCAUACCUGCUGAUCUCAACGGCCCAUUUGGCUAGUCGAACUGAGAGUUCGGGUUUGUGAAAAAUAUUGCGAAGGGGAUAAGUAGUUACAACACAAAUCGGGUGGCAUUGGAAAUAUGGUUUUAACUUCCUAGAAGUGCUUAUUAAAGCAAGCGCUACUUUCUCUAGGUGUGGGUAUCGGGUCUCAGCCUCACCUAAGGUCCAACUAACAUAGUAAACAUGGAAUUACAUACCUCGCUCUUCUCGAACUAGGACCUCACUUACCGGUAUUUUCGAAACCGCCAAGUAUAAGUAGAGUUGCUCGUCCACUUUUGGGGUGUGAAGUAGUGGAGGGCUUGACAGGUAUCAUUUAAGUUCUUCUAAGGCUUGUUGGCAGUCCGGGAAACAUGCAAAAUUACUCUUUUUCUUAAGCAGUGAGAAGAAACUGUGACUUAUAUUUGAGGACCUCGAAUGAAUCGCCCUAGGGCGGCUAUGCGCUCGGUCAACCUCUACACGGCCUUCACAUUAUCUACGACUUUGAUAUCCUCGAUAGCUUUGAUUUUAUCGGGGUUGAUCUCGAUCCCCCGAUUGAACACCAUGAAGCCAAGAAACUUUCCCAAGCCGACCCCGAAUGCACACUUUUCUGGGUUGAGUUUCAUGUUGUAUCUCCUUAGUAUAUCGAAAGUCUCCUGCAAAUGUUUCAAAUGGUCCUCUGCUCGCAGGGACUUAACUAGCAUGUCAUCAAUAUAAACUUCCAUAGAUUUCCCUAUUUGUUCUUCGAACAUUCGAUUUACUAGGCGUUGAUAAGUUGCACCAUCAUUUUUUAGUCUAAACGGCAUUACGUUAUAACAAUAGGUGUCGUAUUUAGUGAUAAAUGAAGUCUUUUCCUAAUCCUCUGGGUUCAUCUGUAUCUGAUUGUACCCGGAGUAGGCAUCGAGAAAAAUGGAAUCUCGUGAUCGGCCGUGGCAUCGAUCAUGCGAUCGAUGUUCGGCAAAGAAAAAGAAUCCUUAGGGAAGGCCUUGUUCAAGUCCUUAUAGUCUAUGCAAAUUCUAAGUUUAUUUCCCUUCUUAGGGACCACCACUAUGUUUGCUAACCAUUCGAGAUAUUUUACUUCCCGAAUGGACCCUAUUUUGAGAAGUUUGGUUACCUCGUCCUUGAUGAAUGUAUUUUUAACCUUGGAUUGGGGUCUUCUCUUUUGCUUUACUGGACGGAACUUCGGGUCCAAGCUUAGUCGAUGGGUGGUGAUCUCUAGUGGGAUCCCUGUCAUAUCAAGAUGGGACCAAGCAAAACAAUUUAUGUUAUCCAAAAGGUAUUGAAUAAGUUUUUUCCUGAGCUCAGGAGUUAACUCCAUGCCCAGAGAUACCUUUCGAUCGGGCAGAUACUCGAUCAAUAUGAUUUGUUCUAGCUCUUCGACCAUUGACUUCAUUGCGUCAGAAUCAUCGGGGAUUAUGAAGGUUUGAGUUAUCAUAUAAUCAUCAUCCUCGAAAGUUUCCUGCUCCUCCGAUCGGGACGAGACCGGUGACUAUGGUUGCUAUUUGACUUCCUGCUUUCCCUUUGAUUUCGAUCCCUUUGUUGAUGAAAGCGCCGAUACCCGUAUCACUUCGUCGAUUGCAAAUAUUUCUUUGGCAGCGGGUUGUUCACCGUACAUCGUUUUGACUCUUUUCGAUGUUGGGAAAUUCAGGACUUGAUGAAGUGUCGAGGGCACUGCCCUCAUGUUAUGGAUCCAAGGCCUUCUAAGCAGUGCGUUGUACCUCAUGUCACCCUCGAUCACAUGGAACUUUUUUUAAUUAGUCCACUAGGCAGUGCCUAGGGCUAGUUAUAUAUAUAUAAUGAAAUAAAAAAAUAAAGUGGCAUGAAAUCCUAAAACAUGAAAGAAAUAAACUUUGUAAACUACAUAAAUCCUAUUAUCAAAGUUGAGAGAUGCACACAACAAUGAUAUCACAAAAGUUCUAAUGUAUGUUUUAUAAGUAGAAGCUAGCCCUUGAAGUCCGUUACAAUUAAAGUCUAGCUGAUUCUUCCGCUCUUUGUAAAUAUAGCCAUACGCUGCCCAGUUCCUCCUGUUGCACACAUAACCAAAUUGGUUGUAUAAAUAGCCUCCUCUCUUUUGCUCAAUAGCCAUUGGCCAAACUAUGAUGCUAUGGAACACCUUUCCUUUGUCUUGUAUCCUUGUAUGAUAUCUGAUUGCAUCCCAAUUCGAUAGUAUGCCAUUCCAGUAGUUCACACCUGUAUAAAAAUGUAAGCCAUGCAAAAUCUGGAAAUGGUGCACUGUCCAAAGAAGUACGAGUACACUAUUUUUGAUUUCAUUUUCGCGUAACUUCCAUUUCUCAUCUCUUGAAGCCUUUACAUGAAGUUGAUCCUGAGUCAUCCUAUCAUUGUGGCACAUGAAAAUGUUAUUCCAAUUUAUCUCCAAGUAGCCCGGUAUGAGCUACCAAAUGAGCCAUAAUAAGUAUGUUGACCAUCGUUGCUCAGGUACACUGUGCCAUAGCCUUCGCGUCGCCAGGUCUCUAGCGAGAAAGAGAGUAGGCGUAAUACCUCGUGUCACCAGGGUGUUGAUCUUGCUCCCGGUCCUGUUGGGCGAGGUCUAUAGCAUGGAAGAGCAUGCCAGAUACUGUGCGCCACCAGGUCCAUAGCGAGAAGGAGUUGGUGAAAUCCCUAGCAUCGCAUGGGUGUUGAACUCGCUACUGGGCGUGCUGGGCGAAGUCUAAAGUGUGAUAUGAAGCUCUCUAUGUCUGCUGAUUGUUGCGCCACCAAUACCAACGCCAGGAACAUUAGGUCGCAUUACCAAGCUUGUUGCAUUCUAUGAAUGUUCAUUUGCCUCCUUAGUUCCAUGAUUGUGCAUGCCAUCUUUUCUCCUUCAAGGGAAUGACCACAUAGUGCUAAUACCAUCCAUAUAAGUCGUAAUAAAUGGCAAGACAUGAGUACAAUAACGUCUCCUGCAAAAAGGAACACAAGGUUAGUAGAAAAAAUGAUCCCCAUAUUCUCUUCCUAAAGGAUUUGAAUAUGAUAAUCCAGUGAUGUCUCCCAUACCCUACUAGCCCUUUCCUCCUUCUUUCUUAGUUCCUUGCUACCUUCACAAAUCAUAUCCUCACCCUUCAUGAUUGCUCCUUACAAAUAAAUUAAAAUUUUGCUUGGCAAUCCUUACCCUAACAUAGGUAUUUGAAGCUUGUCAUUGUUUAAUAUUUUCCUACCUUCUGAUUCCAAUUCCCAGAAUGAUUGCACCUGGAUCCUAUGUUCCUGAUCCAAUGUCAAGUUAGUUAAGUGAUCUGCUAGCUUGUUUCCUUCCCUCAACACAUGCACAAUCUGGAAAAUACCUUUAGCCAUAAGAAGUUUGAUUUCAUCCACCUGAUUUGCAAUGUUCCAAGGUGGUUCCCAUACCUUAUCUAACACUUUCUUCAACAAUAAUGAGUCAGUCUUAAUUAUACAAGGAGGAAACUGCAUUUGAAUUAUGUACCUGACUGCUUCCAAACUGGCCUGAGCUUCAGUAAUGUUAUUUGUUGCCUUCUCCACAACAUCUUCCUAGGCAUAUAUAAGGUCUCCAAUACCAUCCCUAAUGCAAAAACCAUAGGAAGCUCCCCCAUUUUUUUCCUUUACAAGCCCCAUCAGUAAUACAUUUUAUCCAACCAUCUGGAGGUAGUUGCCAUAGUACCUUAGUAUAUUUCAAUCUAGGAAGAUGAUUUAGCAAUUUCUCAUGUAAAUCUGGCCCAUUGGCAGUAACUCCUUUGAACCCUGGUCUUCUUACCUUGAAGAACAUAUGAAUUGUGGUUGAAAUCUGGAAUAUCAACCUAUUAAAAGAUACAUUCUUCCCAUGUUUGCCAGAAUUCCUUUUCUUCCACAAAUGCCAUACUAUUAUAGAUGGCAUUGCUUGGUAAAUUGCCUUCAUACUGGCGUUUCCUGAUUUAAGCCACCACUCAUUUAUUAAUUGAACUAAUUGCUUCCCUUCAGUUUUGAUCCCUAUUGGAGCACCAAAGUAGUUCCAUACAAAUUUGGCUGCUGGAGAUGUCAAGAAAAUAUGGGACAUUGUCUCUUCCUUAGGAUGCCUAUAACACCAACAUCUUGAUGUUUUAAAGUAUCCCAAACUUAAGAACCAAUCAUCUAAUGGUAGUUUUGCCUUCCAGAGUCUCUACACGAAAAAAACUAAUCUUUAAAGGCACACCUUUUACCCAGAAAAAUUUAUAUAAUUUGCUUUCUGCCCUUCUCUUCCUUAUAAAUCGCCAAGCUGACUUCACUGAGAAUGUCCCUUUUGUUUAUAGCUUCCACCAUAGUUUAUCCUUUAUUGAGUAAUCUGAAGGUGGUAAGAUUGUAUCCAUGAUGUGAUCGGCUACCUCCUCAGGCAGUAAUUAUCUCAAAAGACCUUCAUUCCAUGUACCAUUUUCCAUCACCUCAUCAACAUAUUUAUAAGAUUCAUCACACCAAUGAUCUGGACCUUUUGCAUGAUAGAGAGCUCCCAAACUAGUCCAAUUAUCAAACCAAAAACAGGAAUUCCCACUCCUCAAUUGCUACUAAAUUUGAUCUUCCACCUCAUCCCUCAUUUGGAUCAUCAUUCUCCACACUUAGAGAACCAUGUCUCCCUGGUACUACUACUUCAUUUAUCUUCUUACAAUAUUUUUUCCUCAUGAAAACACUCCAUAAAGAGUCCUUAGUUCUAUAGUUCUACCACAGUUUUGCAAACAAAGCCUUGGACACAUCAUACAUUGAUCUAAAACCAAGUCGUCCUUCAUUUUUAGGUAGACACAAAGUAUCCCAAGAAGCCCAGUGUCUUGCCCUUCCAAUACCUGAAUUGCUCCAAAAAAAACCUAGCAAACAUCUUGUGUAAUUGUUUGAUCACAUAUACUGGAGGGUUUACUGCUGAAAGAAGGUGAAUUGGCAUGCUCUCUAACACAUGUGCAAUUAAUACUUCUCUGUCAUCAAUUGAAAGUAACUUGCCCUUCCAUGCUGAUAACCUCUCUAGUACUUUGAAUAGAAUGUUCUUGUAGAACUCCUUCCUCCUUCUGAUAUAGAAAAUUGGACCUACUAAGUAAGUAAAUAUGAAGGAAUGUUUUUGGAAUUCAGUGAUCAAAUAUACAAUAUUCACUUCAUCUGUUGGUGCUCCUUCAUGCAUAUAAAAGGAAGAUUUCUCUUUGUUUAUUUUCUGGACAGAGGCUGCCUCAUAAUCUUCCAAAACAUUCAUGACAAGCUGGACUGCUCCAUAGUGAGAAGAACAGAAUAUGAUUGUGUCAUCUGCAUAGGAUAAGUAGGUGAUAUUAUGGAUCCACUUUGGCAUGCCAAAGCGUAUGAAAUAUGGAUUAUCAAAUAAUGUAUCCAAUGCUCUCCCAAGAACCUCUACUGCCAGAAUGAAUAAAGUAGGAGAUAAAGGAUCUCCUUGCUUGACACCCCUUGUAGAUUUGAAGAAUCCAUUGGCCUGCCCAUUCAAUAGUACUGAAUACCAAUUGUUGGAUACUAAUAUGAAUAUUAUGUCAAUGAAGAUCUCACCAAACCCCAUCUGCAUCAACACCUUUGUCAAGAACAACCAUGACACUCUAUCAUAAGCCUUUACCAUGUCUAAUUUGAUCACCACAUUAGCUGAUUUCCCUCUCAUCUUUAUAUCAGUUAUGAUCUCUUGUGUAAGUAAAAUAUGUUCCACUAUACUCCUGCCCUUAACAAAUCUAGCCUGAUUAGGAGAGAUUAGAGAAGGAAGAAAUUGUACUAACCUCUCAUGAAUUACUCUAGAGAUGAUCUUAUUGGAAAAAAAUUGCUCAAACUGAUUGGUCUUAUAUCUGAAAAUGUUGCCACAUUCUUAUUCUUUGGAAGCAUUACAAGGUUUGUAUGUGUGAUGAAUUUUGGUAAUUAUGCACCACAAAAGAAAGCUCUCACCAUAUGAAGCACAUCUUCCCCAAUAAUAUCCCAACUUGCCUGAUAAAAAUGCCCAGUGAAUCCAUCUGGACCACUGGCACUAUUUCUAUUUAGGUCAAAUACUGUUUCCUUCACCUCCUCCAUGGUUGGUUAUUGCAACAAUAAUUCAUUCUAUUCAAUAGACACCAACUUAGGGAUGUAUUGAAUGAUGUCAAAGUUGGUAGGCACCCUCUCUUCAGUGAAUUGAGCUUGGAAGAAUUCUACUGCCUCUCUUGCCAUAUCUUCUUGAGAUUCAAGCCCGAUUCCUAUUGUUAUCUAAGAUUCUGGAUAGUUGUAGUCUUUUCCUCUUUCCCCUCACAUGAACAUGAAAAAACUUAGUAUUCCUGUCACUAUCCUAAAACCAUUGCAUUCCAUCCUUUUGCCUCCAAAAUUCUUCUUCAAGAUGAUAGAACCUUGCGAGGCCAACUUCUACCUUGUGCAGUUUUUCCCUAUUCUGGACUAUUGGAUUCAACUCAAACUCAAUUUCAUGAACCUUUAUGAUAUCUUCCAAUGCUGCAAUUUGUUUGAAAAUGUCUCUAAAAGUUUCCUUACUCCAGGCUGCCAGAACUGACUUUACUUUCUUCAACAUACAUAUUGAAAGGAUUCCCCAUGAUAUCAGUUACCCAAUUCUCCUUUAUCACAUUCAAAAAGGCCUUAUUUUUAGCCCAAAAGUUGAGAAACUUGAAAGGCUUCUUCACUUGCACAGUGUCAAUAUUACAUGACAAUAGAAGGGGUGCAUGAUCAGAUCCAUAUUUUAUGAGAUGCUCAACUUCUAAUGAUGAGAACAAAUCAAGGAAUUCCUAAUUUGCAAAGAACCUAUCAAGCCUUUUGAAGAUGCAAUCUAUAUCCGACCUUCUAUUCCACCAAGUAUACAUACUCCCUUUGUAGCCAAGAUCAUACAAUGCACAUGCAUCAACACAGUGUGUAAAGUCUUCCACUUCACACAAAUACACUGGACGACCCCAUACUUCUCUUCCUCAGAUAGUAUCACAUUAAAAUCCCCUCCAACAAGACAAGGGGAUUCCAUGUCUGAAGCUAAAUGGUACAUUGAAUCCCAUAGCUCAAUUUUUCAAUCACAUCACAUUUAGCAUAUCCAAUAGUCACGUAAAUCUCCUUGUUCAAAUUCCUAUGAAACAACUUUAAAGUCAUUUGUUGUUCCAUGUUCAUCACAAUAUCUACAUCAAUAUCUUUAUCUACAAAAGCCCAGAUUUUUACAUUCAUAUUUGCAUAAGCAGAAUGUAUCCUUAACUUUUGUCUAUAUUCCUCCACUUUGCUAAUGUCUUGCCAAGGUUCCAUCAAACCUAUUAAAUAGAAGUUGUACUUUCUGUGUAGGUUAAGUAACCUAUUGAAAGCCAUUUGAUAUUAAUCGACCUCACAUUCCAUACUAGAGCAUUAUCCAUAAGAUUAGUUGGAAGUAGAGAUCAUACUCCUUUUUGGUUGCACCCUUAUAGGCACAAUGUCUUUGAUGUCCUUUUUGUGCCUCAUUGUAGGUUUUGUUGAUGAUUUCUUCCUAUCCACACUUCUGGGGGAUAAUUCACCAUCUCUUACUACUUUUUGGAAGUUAGCAGUAGUAGAUUCUUCUUCAAUAUCCUCCCCCAAAUCUUCCCCCUCUCCUUGUGCAUUGUCAACCUCCUAAAGUGCUAAAGGGUUUGGUUCAUGAUUCUUGGCUAUCAUUCCCAAUUCCCUUUUUCCCUUAUUGUUGAUCAGUGUGCCUUUGGCUAAGAUUUCACUAGUGACACUGAAAGUUUUCCCAGCUAUUAUGCCAGGAUCAUCAAUAUCAGCAGUAGCUAAUUGCAUAGGUUUAGGGACCAGGGAUCUGCUUGUUUGCUCACCUAUCAUCUUCUUCUGUUUCAGCUAUGGCACGUCUACUGCAUCACGUCCAGUUCCCCCUGGAUCAAUCGCAUCAUGUUCAUCUCCCUUAGGUUUUACUGUAGUAGCCCUAGGGUUUACUGUAGAUGUCUGAUUAGGAUUGGUAUUUUCCUGCUCAUUGACGUCACCUUCUUUAUUGGUUGCCUUAGCAUCUUUAUUGAUUUUAUUAGCACUGGUGUUGGACUUCAAUCCCUUACCAUUCACGCUUUGAUCCUCCUCCUCUACCUCCUCAUAUGUAGAACUUAUCUCACCUUGAGCACCCUCAGGUAUUUCCCCUUCCUUUGAAUCUUCCUCUGUUUGAUUAACCCAUAAUUUUCCACCACUCCACUGAACCUUCUCGUUUAUCUUUGGGAAUUUAGCUGUAUUAUUUGUGUCAAUAGUUUGAGAGGGAAUAUCUUGACACGAUUUAUUAGUAGUAGCUAGGUUACACCCAAAUGCUCUACUCACCCAUUGUGCCGUGGAUUCCUUAUGUAUAUUUUCAGCACUCUUACUCCUUUGUGCACUAGGAUUAAAUACAUGAGUAAUAUGAUUUAACUUCUUUGCCCUCUUAGGAGUAUGAUUUCCAGCCUUAGUAGGAGAAUCCUUAUCCACCUGAAUUACCUCCUGGACUUCAUCAACAACUGCCAACUGCUUGUUUUGCCCUUCCCCAAUGUCUUCACCUUCAAGUGCUGUAAAUUUGUUAGAUUUUUGUAGCUGCUUAUCACCAUUGCUAAUAAUUGGAACUAGUUCUUUCCCGAUUUUGGAUUAUUGUUAUCUAAUCUAGCACCUGUAACUACUCAAUUGUCUUUGACCUCUUUCCAUUGUUCCUUUGAAUUAUCAACCACCUUACCACUGGACAAAAUCAUCAAAGGACCUUGAAUUUUGCCUUUCCCUUCCACAAUGCCUCCUCUACCUUGUUUAUUAUCAGCCUUGUUUUCCACAAGUUCUAGAUGUAGUUUCCAACAUUCAAGUUCAUCAUGACCUUGAAGUUUACAUUCUUUGCAGUACUUCGGCAAAUAAUCAUAUUUUAUUGUCACCCAUUUAGUCCUUAUGUCUCUAGUCACCUCAUUCUCAAUAUCUAUACGUACCUUCUUUGGUAAUUAGCUAGAAGAUCCACCAACACUUUAACUCGUGCACAGCUAGGUCGAGUUUUAUUAAUGGUAGCCAUAUCUAAGUGAAAAGUCUUUCCCACAGCUGAUGCUAACGAUAAAAGACAUUCCUUAUCAAAGUAGGUAGGUAACAGAUUAGGGAAAGAUAUCCAAGCCAUAACUUUUGGAGUCUCUUACCCAGCUUUAAAUCUGGCAUUGUAAAUAAGAGUUCUCAAUUGAUAUUCAUAGCCAUCUUUACCUUUAACAUAGUAAACACUUUUGGACGUGAAACUAAUAUAAUCCUUCCAUAAUGUCAUUCUAAUUAAAACAUGUCUAUUAUGUAGAAACCCAAUGUUAUAUUCACCUUUAAUUCCACAUUGAGUAGGUAUGAUUCUACGUAAUUCUUGAAGCUCAGGCUAUCCAUAUGAGAACUUUCAUACUACUGCAUAUUGCAAACCUUCAAUCACGUUCAUGCACUCCACUUCUGCUUUAGUAAACUUCACUAAUGGCUGCCCAUGCAAGAAAGUAGCAUGCCUAAGGGGAAUUGGUUCAACAGUACGCGUAGAACUAGGGUUCGCCUGGACUGUUUUGUUGAUCGCGUCUGGUUUAAAAAUAUUGGAGUAAUCUAAAGGCUUGGGGAUGUUUGUAGUAGGGUUAGGAAUGGAGAGGAUGCUUGGGUGGGCUGACCAACCCCCGUAGGAGGCUGGUCAUCGGCCAGAUUGACCAUUAAAGGACUAUCGCUGGAAGUCACCAAGAGUCGCCGGAAAUCGCCAGAGAGAGAAGCUCUCAAGUGUAUUAGGUUUCUAGGAGUAGCAUGGAUUUUGAACUUUGUUUCUUGGAUGGUCCCGCCCAUAUUUACUGGCAAAAUAAUUUCCCAUUUGGUGGUUUCACUCGUCAUGUUGAAGUCGUUAAGUACUCGACCUGGGGGCACAAUUUGAUCUUGUAGGCCGCGUUGCUCUACGACCCUUGAUCGAAUAAUAUUGGUCGAGUCGCCUGGAUCAAUCAACACAAGUUUAACUUGAAUUUUAUUCAUAAGGAUAGAUAUUACCAGUGUAUCAUUGUGAGGUUGUUCAAUCCCUUCUGCAUCCUCAUCGUUGAAAGACAGGGUCUCUUCCGGUAAGUAGUCCUGAGUCUGUUUUUCUCGUGUGAUUGUCACCUUGGUGCGUUUGAAUACCGGUCCUUGGGGAAUAUUGACCCCUCCAACGAUCAUGUGAAUCACAUGUUGUGGCUCUUCUUGCUCGUUCUGUCUGUUUGAAUCUCUAUUUUUGAAGUGGUUCUUGGACCGAUCACUUAAGAAUUCUCGAAGGUGCCCCUCGUUGAACAACCGAGCUACUUCCUUGCUUAGUUGUCUGCAAUCUCCAGUUUUAUGGACAUGGGUGCCAUGAUACUUGCAUAUUUGGUUUGGGUUUCUUUGGGUCGGAUUGGUCUGCAGAGGUCGGGGCCACCUGGUAUAUUUGAUACGUCUAAUGGCCGAUACUAUGGCGGAAGCAUCUAUGAUGAAGUUAUAUUGUGACAGUCGAGGUGCUUAUUUGGACCCGUCAUCCCUAUCGAAACCAUUCCUGCUCAUGAGCCCUCGGGAGCUUUGUCUUCGAUCAUUCCUUCUAUCAUUCCGAACGGGGUUGUGUCCAGACCCGCUAUUUCUUCGAUCUCUCCCGUAUGGCUGAUAUCGAUCUCUGUUCAAUCGUCAUUCCCGAUCGACAUCCUUUUUAACUCUGUCCACGGGCCUAUUGGGAUAAAUCAAACCAAUUGGAGCCCCCAGUUGAUCGUCUUCGACCCUAAUCCUUGACUGAUAUCGAUUAUGUAUAUCGGACCAAGUGAUGGCCAGAUAUUCGAUCAAAUUCUGCUUUAUAUUGUGAAGUUAUGGAACUCCCUUCGUUCAGACCUUGAGUGAAAGCUUGAAUAGCCCAAUCAUUGGUGACCGAUGGCAAAUCCAUCCGUUCUAUUUGAAAUCGAGAUACAAAUUCCCUGAGUAUCUCGUUAUCUUUUUGCCUUACCUUGAAUAGGUUCGACUUUCUAUUAGCAACCUUAAUGGCUCCAGCGUGCACCUUCACAAAAGAAUCUGUAAGCAUAGCAAAUGAAUCAAUAGAAUUAGGUGGUAAAUUAUGGUACCAUAUCAUGGCACCCUUUGAUAGAGUUUCUCUGAAUUUCUUCAGCAACACAGAUUCAAUCUCGUCAUCUUCCAAGUCAUUUCCCUUAAUGGCACACGCAUAUGAGGUGACAUGUUCGUUUGGAUCUAUCGUCCCAUUAUACUUCAGAAUCUCAAGCAUACGGAACUUUUUUGGGAUUAGCUUCGGAGCUGCACUUGGGGGGAAAGGUUUUUGGACAAACUUUUUGGAAUCAAGUCCUUUUAAUACUGGUGGUGGCCCCAGGAUUUGGUCGACCUUGGAGUUAUAGGUUUCCACCUUCUUAUCAUUUUCCUCGAUCUUCUUUUCCCCUGUCUCGAUUCGCUUCGUCAGUUCCUCGAGCAUUUUUAUGGUAGCGGGAUUAGUAUACGAUUCUCCUUCAUUCGAUCUUUUUGGCACCGAUUCAACUCUAUGAACAACUUCUUGUGAUGGCUCGAGCUCGAUCCUGCUUGGUGCACGAUUCUUAUUUUGGAGUUGUGCUAUUACAGCUUGUUGAGUCUGCAACAUCUUGAAUAUCAUUCGAAGGCUAAUUCUGCCCCCUUCACCGCUCUGUGCGUUCUGAUCGGCUGUUCGAGCGUCUCUGCGGACGCUAUUCUCAGGGUCGAUGCCCGAAUUCCCAUUAAUGGCAAUAUGGGAGCUGACAUCGAUUGGAUCCACGACCGGAGCUCCAUCGGAGUUAACUGGAAGUACUCCAUUUCCCGGGAAGGCUAUGUUUUUGUUCUCGUCAUAAAGACCAAGGCUAUUGUCUGUGUGUGUGGAUGCUGCUUAGGAGUUUGACAUGUUGAUCCUGAAAUCAAAGACACUUCAAAGAACAAGCGUAAAAUAAUGUGUGUUACGAAAAUUGUAUCAGACAAUCACUAUUAUCCUUUGACCCAUGGUGAGCGCCAAACUGUUUACCCUUAAAAUGGGAUAAUGAUUAAACUUAUAAGUGGUUUUAAGGAUAUGUGAUUUCACUUGGCACAAACUGAUAAAUAUAAGAAUUAAUUCUAGGAAUUAACAAUAAAACAAAGCAAACCAGUAUGACGAACAAUUAUGGCCCUUGAGCUAAUUGCCCUCGAACCAACUAAACAAGCUAUUGAGAGUAUGAACUGGACAAUUGAGCUUGCAAGAGAUAAAAGUGUGAUAUAUUGCUAUGAUUAGGGGUGUUCAUAAAAAUCCGAAAACCCGAACCAAGCCGAAAACCAAACCAAACCGACCAAAAAACCGAUACUUUUUGGUUUGGUUUGGUUUUGGUUUUGAAAUUUAAAAACCGAUUAAAUUUGGUUUNNNNNNNNNNNNNNNNNNNNNNNNNNNNNNNNNNNNNNNNNNNNNNNNNNNNNNNNNNNNNNNNNNNNNNNNNNNNNNNNNNNNNNNNNNNNNNNNNNNNNNNNNNNNNNNNNNNNNNNNNNNNNNNNNNNNNNNNNNNNNNNNNNNNNNNNNNNNNNNNNNNNNNNNNNNNNNNNNNNNNNNNNNNNNNNNNNNNNNNNNNNNNNNNNNNNNNNNNNNNNNNNNNNNNNNNNNNNNNNNNNNNNNNNNNNNNNNNNNNNNNNNNNNNNNNNNNNNNNNNNNNNNNNNNNNNNNNNNNNNNNNNNNNNNNNNNNNNNNNNNNNNNNNNNNNNNNNNNNNNNNNNNNNNNNNNNNNNNNNNNNNNNNNNNNNNNNNNNNNNNNNNNNNNNNNNNNNNNNNNNNNNNNNNNNNNNNNNNNNNNNNNNNNNNNNNNNNNNNNNNNNNNNNNNNNNNNNNNNNNNNNNNNNNNNNNNNNNNNNNNNNNNNNNNNNNNNNNNNNNNNNNNNNNNNNNNNNNNNNNNNNNNNNNNNNNNNAAAUAUUAAUCGUUGGCACAUUUAGUACAGUUCUUUACCUUUACAUUCUAGUUUAAUUGGUAGUUUUCUUUUGUUAAAUGUAAGAAUCUAUUUCAUGUUAAAAAUAAUAUAUUUUUAAUUGAGUCCUUAAAUUAUUCAUCACUAUUUGAUUCAAUUAUCAUCAAUAUAUCUUGGUAAAUAAUAGAUUUCUCAAAGGGCAAUUGAUUUGAUAGUGUUACGUUGAAAAUGUGGUCGCCGAAAUGUGUGAUUGGUAGUGUAUGUUUUAUAUUUAAGAAAAAAUCGACAAAUAACCGAAAAAACCAAAAACCGACAAAAACCGAAUCGAGAAAAAACCGACUUAAUUGGUUUGGUUUGGUUCUAAUAUUUAAAAAACCGACUUACUUGGUUUGGUUUCCUUUUUGGGAAAAACCGAUCCAAACCGAACUAUGAACACCCCUAGCUAUGAUAUGCGUAAAGGUAAGAUGGUUACAAAAUGAUUAGAACCCUCUUUAUAUAGUAGAGGAAUCCUUUUUAUGGUACAAUUCUAAUUACAUAAGUAAAUCCCUUGAUAGGCUGAAUAUCCGAUCCUAACUCGAUACAUGCCGAGAUUUCCAUCACGAUCCUCGCCUAAUCACGAAUAUCUCGGAUUUCUAUUAUUCGGCGUAGUAGGCCUUCUUCGAUCUUGUUCGAUCUCUUUCUUGCUUUGGUCUAGGUCACGGCCGACCUCGAUCUUCAUUGGCCGUUGAUCCAUGAGCUUAUCAAUCUGUCUCCGUACCAUGAUCCGAUAUAAUUGGGGUCUGGCCUUGACCUUCCGUCCCGACCUCGGUUAGUCGCACAAAAUUAGGCAAGCCCGAUUUUGACCGUAUACAAUUUGCACUUUACAUUUCUACAACAACAAUAUACCCAACAUACUUUUACAUGUGCAGUUUAGAAAAAUAAUUUGUACGUAGACUUUAACCCUACCUUGUGCAUAUACAGUGCCGGCUCUAUGGUAAAGCAAGUAGGGCACUUGCUUUAGGCCCCCAAAUUUGAGGGGCCCCAUUUUUUAGUUAUAAUAAUUUAUAUAUUUUUUUAAAAAAAAUUUAGACUAGUUUUAAUUUUGGUAACAAUUGUAAAUAUUAUCAUAAUAAACAAAAAUCAAUAUACCUAAAGAACGCCUAGUUUCACAACCAUCUUCUAGGAAGAAUAUUGCAAUUCACUAGGCCUCUGACUGCAUCUAAUUACAAAUAAGUUUUAUAUAAAGAGAAAGAUAAUUUUAUUAAAUUUGUGAAUAAAUUAUCAACAUCAGAAUAAUUAUUAUGGGAGGUAUGAAUACUUUUAAAUUUUUACAUUCUCUUUCUUAUUUUUUCAAGUCACAAUAUCUCUUUCUCUUCUCUCACAAAAUUAUAUACUUUCUAUUUUAUUUCUUUCUCCGAGAGUAUAAAAGUUCAACAGCUCAAAAGUUUUUGUGGUAAAAAUUUAAGAUCAUUAGAUGACGAGAACUUAAAAAAAUAUUGUCUUAACCUUGAAUGUUCCUUAAAAUAUAAUAGUCACUAUGAUAUUGAUGGUUUAAACUUAUUUUUUAAAUUAAAAAUAUUAAAGAAAAUAGUACAAGUAGAAAAUAAUACUCCAAUCAAUACAUUCAAUAAAAUAUAAAAGACUUGAUUCUUUGUCAAAUGCUUUUUUUAAUAAAAUAGUAUUAACAUUUCAUGUAAUAGUUGCCUCAAUAGAAAUAAUUUUUUUAAAAUUAAAAAAUAAAAUCUUACCUAGGAUCAAUAAUUUUCAAGAAGGAUUAAAUGAAUUGACUAUAUUGUCAUUUGAAAAAAAAUUAUCUGAAGAAAUCGAUAAUAAAAAAAAUAUUUACAACUUUAUAUCUCAAAAAGUUAGAACAAUAAUUUAUUUUAAAAAAUAUUUUACUUUUUAAAUUUAAGGCCUCCAAAUAAAUUUUGUCUUUAGGCGACUAAAAAUACUCGUCCCUGUGCAUAUAAAGAAGCUGUUUUCGAAAGAUCAUCGACGCACUUUGCAUCUCUAAUCUUUUAUAAACUUCAUUGCAUUUAUUUGAAUUUCUCAUAGUGACUCCUUUUACAGCGUGGCCAACUGAUUUAAUUCCUUUUUGGAACUCCGAAAGUGAUUUAACUUAUAAACAUUAUAAUAAAAUAUAAAUUACUUUAACAUUGUCUGUUUAAUUUUAUCAGUUAUAACCAAUUAUUUAUCAUAGUUAAAAAAUUACUCCACCAAUUUAUGCCUAAUACAGAUAGUUACUUGUAAUUAUUAUUUGAGUAUUGAUAGUACAUAUCUGGAGUUUAAAGAAAAUGACACCCGCAAGAAAGAAGAAACAAGGAAAAAUCCAAGGCAAAGGCCUGGCUGGACGUUGCCCUGUGUGAUUUUCAAAGACAGCUGAUACCGGUUUGAAAAGCCACCGAGUGGGUCCCGGUAAAACUAAGAACAGGACCCACAAAGGCGGAUCCUCUCGCGGACUCUCCUGACUAAUCUCUCUCUCUCUCUCUCUCUCCUAUGAACCAGAAAGGAAAUCUCAGACAAGUUGCAAGUAUUUUUCUUAAUUACAAUUCAAAAUCAGAGCAGAACCAUAAAUCCGCUUCGCUUUCUAAAAAAAUUAGUUGCUUCUUGCUGUUACAGAGUGUAGAUUCUUCGUGAACAUAGUUAAUCGCACUUUGCUUGGUUUGCUUUCUUCACUCCCAUGCUUCGCUUUCUGUUCAACUUAAGAUCAGCAUUCCACACGGAUAAUUAAGCGAUUUCUGUUGAAUUCGGUCAACUCCAGUCAAAGGAGGAGGUUUGGUAAGCUGAUAGCCAACUUAAAUAUCGACAAAUGCCAAUUUUAUUAAUAUUAUUUCUUUGGAAUUAAGGGCUACAACUUUCAUUAUGAGGAAUUGCCUCAUGUUUGAUCAAGGUAUUGCAUUUUGUUGCGCCACUACCCUUAUGUAGAAAUUUGCUGGUUGCAAAAUCUUCAUGUCUUCAAUUUGACUUUUGUUGUUUUUUCUACAGCAUUCAAUGCCUUUAACCUCAAAUUCAUUUGUAACUUCCAGUUAUUUUUCUAUAUUUAUUUCAUGUGUUAUUGGUUUCCUCUUUAACUACUUAUCUACCUCUCAUGAAAAGGAUAAGUUAGACUUUACAGUUCUAGUGUAUGUCCUAAUUUUAAAAACUUUUGUGACAAAGCUUUAUGCAUCUUAAAGAAUCUUCUAACUUCGUUGAAAACAUUUGUUUGCUAAUCUGUUUUAAAAGGAAUUGCUUUUUUUUUGGGUUGUUUGGUGGUACCUGUAGUUAUCUGACAGGCUAGCAUACUAAUGUUUUCAGGGAAUGGUAUUUAGCUCUUUGUGGAGCUACUCGAGACAGUUCUCAUCAAGAAACUUGUUGCCACUAGAAUGAUUCUGGAAGUCAAUCCCCCACGUUGAGCAGGUUGAUGCAUUGGCUAAAGUUAUGAAUCACCGCCAAGACGAGUUUGUGAGGUCAGUUUUCUGAGAACUUGUGCAAUCCCCUUUUCCUCUCAAUCCACUAAAUGCUUUUUCCAGGUUAAACCUUCUAGUAGUUUCUUUCUGAAUGUAAAUAACACAAAUGAACAGAUUUUAUAGAUUUAUAAGUGGAAAAUAGACUAAUUCUAGACCUGGAGGGAAACAAUAGAAAGCCUACAUAGCCUUACCUAUUUGAAAUUGGAUGAGAACAGAAAAUUAAGAGGGAAGUCCAAGCACAUUUAUGUUUGGUUACUUAAAUGGGUAUUGAAAAAGCUUAACGAAGUAAAUUUUAGCAUGGACUAUUCUCUUUUUUUCGUUUUGUAUAUGUAUAGAUGUUAUAUAACUGCACCAAUUUGCUGACAUGUUUUUUGCCAACUUGUAUUUCUAAUACUUGAAUUAAUUGCCUUGCAGGUUUCAGGAUUGGAAAUCAGAGAGAAGCUCUGAGGGAAAUUUUCAUGCUAAAGGUGGAGUCCACCGAAGUAAAGUUGUAAUAGCUUCCGACGAAUUACAUAAUCGCUUGGAAUCUGGUAAAUGGAGGGCCAAAGGCAUAAUACAAGCUGUAAAAUCUAGUUUAAGUGGUUUUGUGGAAGAAAGCUUGGGAUCCAAAAAGAACAUUCUUGAUCCUCAAGGACCUUUUCUUCGAAAGUGGAACAAAAUAUUUGUAUUAUCCUGUGUAAUUGCUAUCUCCUUGGAUCCUUUGUUCCUUUAUAUUCCAGUGAUUGAUAACGACAACAAAUGCCUGGGGUUAAACAGAACGUUGGAGGUGACAGCUAGUGUUUUGCGUUCUUUUACUGAUAUAUUUUACUUUCUUCAUAUUGCCCUUCAAUUUCGAACUGGUUUUAUUGCUCCUUCGUCACGUGUAUUUGGAAGAGGUGUUUUAAUUGAAGAUGCUUGGGAGAUAGCAAAGAGAUACUUAUCCACUUACUUCUUGAUCGACAUUCUUGCAGUUCUACCACUACCACAGGUGCAUGUUACUUCCCUUCAAAACAUUACUUUGGCUUUCUAUUGAAGAGAGACUCAUGGUUGGUACAUUUUGUGAAAAGAUUAUUCUGGUUCAAGCAGGCAAUGUAUCGUAUCUCAUGGAGAUCAUAGAUUUACAUGAUGUGGAGCAUUUUUGCACUCCAUGUAUUAUAUUGCAUGUUAGCUUUUACCUACUUCCUAUGUAAAUAGAAAUUUAUGUUCAGUUGUUUACUCUUAUCCUUUUAUGUAUUUUCAGGUUGUAAUUUUAAUUAUAAUUCCUAAGUUGCGGGGUUCAAGAUCUUUGAAUACCAAGAAUUUGCUGAAGUCUGUUGUCUUUUUCCAAUAUAUUCCAAGGGUCCUUCGAGUGUAUCCUUUAUAUAGGGAAGUCACAAGAACAUCUGGCAUACUCACUGAAACAGCAUGGGCUGGAGCUGCUUUCAAUCUCUUCCUUUAUAUGCUUGCCAGCCAUGUAAGCUUGCAAUAACCUUGAGUUACAAUUCUGAUGGAUAGUAUACUAUCUACUCUGUUGUUCAAAUUUGUGUUACCCAAAGUUACCUAUGGUUGAUUCUAUCUAAAAGGUGUCCUUUAAAAUUUUGUUAUUUUGACUAAUUGGAACCUUAGAACUAAAAGUUAUGGAUUUUCAGCCAUCUUAGGUUUUCCUGGCAUAUAAACUUAUGAUAUGCCAGCAGAUAUCAGUAGUAUUAUGAAAUAGUUAUAUCAUUCUCUAUUAUAUUUUCUUUUAGCGGUGACAUCAUUCUCUAUUCUAUACUAUCUUGUACUCAUUAAACUGAGAAUUGAGUGGCUUUGUGCUCUUUAGGUACUUGGAGCCUUUUGGUAUCUGUUUUCUAUAGAACGCGAAACUACUUGCUGGAAACAAGCUUGUGGAAAUUCUUCUCCCUGUCAUCAUGCCUCAUUGUAUUGUGAUGAUGAUCAUACAAAAUUUAAAACAUUGCUGAACAGUUCCUGCCCUAUAGAGACACCAAAUGCAACGCUAUUUGAUUUUGGGAUAUUCCUUGGCGCUCUCCAAUCAGGUGUUGUGGGACCAAUGGAUUUUCCGCAGAAGUUCUUUUAUUGUUUCUGGUGGGGUUUACAAAAUUUAAGGUACGCCUGCACUAUGUGCCUCUUAUGCAUAUUAAAAAACAAGUUGGUUAGAUCUUUAUACCCAAGUGUUUUUCUGUUUAACCACAUUUGCAUGUACUGUGUAGUGAUUACCAGAGGCGGAUCUAGGAUUUGGAGGUUCCGGGUGCCACACUAAUUUUAAUGUACACGUGUUGUAUUUACAUGGUCCAAAUAGGAUAUUUAUUGGGUCAGUUUGAUCUAUUUUUUAUUUCGGGUCAGUUAUUAGUCUUAUCGGGUUUAUAUAUGGACAAACCAAUCAAACGAAAAAAUAAUUACAUUGAAGUUGUUCUCCUAGAAAAAAAAAA
rnacentral:lncRNA from 1 species